CUCUAUCCAACCAACCAUUAUAAUGGGCAUAUUUCACCAUUCGCUUGUUAGAUAUGUUUGGAAGUUUGAAUUGUGUUUUGAGACAAAUGUGUAUAGAAGAUGAACUUGAUGAGAUGACAAAAAUGACAAGAUUCGGACCGGAAUGAGCCGCUAGAUGGUAGAUAUUCAACCGAAACCCUGCCACCUAAAUAUGUUGUUAGAGAGAGGCCUUUUAAGAGAGGGAGAAAAGAGAGAGGCUAAGGUAAAUGGUUUUAAUUGAGUUAGCAGAAAAAUAACAAGAAAUUGGGAUACAAAACACACAUGCAUACACAUCAACUUUUUAGUUUGACAAACACGAACACCAUCUUAAACAGAUAAAGUAUUCCUUUUUGGAAUUGUGCGAUACAUUAAAUUUCAGUACCAAGAAAAACAAAAGUAAAAGAUAUUGGAGAAGUCAUGCUCCUAAAUAAAAACCCAUCACCGUUGAUUUCACUGUUGUACACUUGUAGCCCAACAAACAACGUUGGAUCAAAGCAAGACAGUAUCAUUGUAAUCUACGCCGAAAUUCACUCGACCGCAUCCAUAAAGUCGAAAAUAUAUAAAAGCAUAUAAUAUCAAAAUUAACGUCCCUUUCAAUAGUUAUCACAUCUUAAUAUAUCACUCCCACUUUUCUUUCAUUAUUAUUCUUUAUAGGAAUUUGGCUUCCAUAUUUAUUUCACGCUUUAUUAAAGUCCAAAUUUUCCCCAAAUAAAUAUUCCUCCAAAACACAAACACAAAAAAUUGAAAAAACUAUAUAAUAAAUUAUUCAUAAUAAGCGAGGACGAUGAAUUAUUUAGAUAUCCACGACAAAAUCAGCUAAAAAGCUACGUCCUGCUGCGUCAUUUUCUUCCCCUCUAUUUUUCAGCAACGAAAGGAAAAAAAAAAAAAGAAGAGAUCAGAGACAGAGACAGAGAGAGAGAGUGGAAAUUCCAUCGCUGUGAGGACCGUACGCGUAAGGCUGGGAAUGGAUGAAGAAGAAGGCAGAGACUGCAUUUAUUUUUCAAUGAAGAUUGGUCCGAAUCCGUGAGAUUCACGCAAAUCCGGUUUCCCAGAUCGACUUCCUCUGCAUUGAUUUGUUUUCUCUUUUUUCGACUCAUUUCUCUGUCAAUUUUUUGGAAUAUUUAUAAAUGAACGUCGGCGGGGAGGGGCUCUUGGCUCCGGCGAGGUCGGCGGCGGAUUUAUCGCCGCUGGAGUGGAAGUUUUCGCAGGUCUUCGGAGAAAGGACCGCCGGAGAAGAAGUUCAGGAAGGUACUCUUCUCGAUUGUUUCAAUUCGUUUAAUAUUAUUUAGGGAUUCAGUAUUGAUUUCAUUCUCAUUAUCAUUAAUACUUUUUAUUUAAUGUUGCGAUUUUUCCUUUUAUUGGAUGAUUAGCUUCAGAAAUUGGGCAUUGAAUAUCGAGAAUCGUAACACGCCAAUGGAAUUUAAUGGAUAAAGUGGGAUUUUAUAGUUUGAGGACAGAGUUUAGGUUUAUGAUGGCAGAAACACUUGAGCUGUAGUUGGUAGACAUGUGGCGUGUAUAUUUGAUAACUGAUGCCCGAUGCUGUUGUCAUGAGAUUGAUAUUAUGAAGGGUUUAUCGUUUGGAAUCUUAGAUAGUGAAGUUGAUGGCUGUGGGUUAUCUGGCUAUUAAUUAACGAAACAAAAACAUUGGAUGGCUGUCUGUUUUGUAUGUAUGUAUGUCUGUCUGUCUGUUUUAUUUAUGUUGUUUUUAUUUUUGAGCCCCUACAUUUAGAUGAUAAGUUUAGGAUGCAUUUUGAACAUGCUCUUACGAUUGCGACAUACACAUUUAUAUAUCUUAAGCUCAGAGGGCCUAGAUUUAGAGUGAAGUUAACUGGAAAUCAAUUAUGACGAAUGUAUCUCUUUGAAUGAAUGUCAUCACCCGAGUACUUAUUUUUAAUUUUUUUUUAUAAAGAUACUUCGUAAGUGUUUGAGGGCAUUGAAGUUUUCUUUGGUACACUUCACGUGCACGACUACUUAGCUUGUUUACAUGCUGACUGAUUUUUUGCAGUUGAUAUAAUAUCCGCUAUUGAAUUCGAUAGAACUGGGGACCACCUUGCCACUGGAGAUCGUGGAGGUCGGGUGGUAUUGUUUGAAAGAACUGAUACGAAAGAUGUAAGUUAGUUGAUACAUUUUUUUUGGGAGGCGGGUGGGAGUGUAUUUUCCUUAUAACCAUUCUGCCUUUGUAUUUUUGCUCGUUACACUGUUGUGAUUUAGUUCUUACUGUACGGUGUAAACUUAAAAUAUGUAGCAUGGUGGACAUCGGAGAGAUCUAGAGAGGAUGGAUUAUUCAAUCAGUAGGCAUCCCGAGUUUCGCUAUAAAACUGAGUUCCAGAGUCAUGAACCUGAGGUAUUACUUUCUUUGUGCUUCCCUGUGACUAGUAUAAAUUGACUUUUCCUCCUUGCUGGAAUCUGGAUUUGACUAACUUGCAUCUUUCUUGGUCUUUCCUAAACCCAGUUUGACUAUCUUAAGAGCUUGGAAAUUGAGGAAAAAAUCAACAAGAUCAGAUGGUGUCAGACAGCUAAUGGUGCGCUGUUUCUUCUCUCCACUAAUGACAAAACCAUCAAAUUCUGGAAGGUAGCACUAGCCACUUUUGAACUUUUAUGUGGUUAGAUUAUUAACUUAUAGAUGAUUUCCCCUCAAAAUCUUAUCUCCCUGUACUUAUUUUUAUUCAACCGCAUUGCCUUUUUAAUUUAUAUCUUGUUCCAAACAAAGAUGGCGAUUACUCCAACCAUUUCACUUUACACAUCAUUCUCGUAGUGAACACAAACAUAGACAUACACGCAGAUUGUAGUGAAUGACUUUUUAUAGCUGCUAUAGUACAAUGACUUCAGAUUUAAUUACUUUUAAGUUUCACAUUAUGGAAGGAAAUGUUCUAAUCCUAACCUAAUUCUGAGCAGAUCCAAGAAAAGAAGGUAAAGAAAGUAUGUGAGAUGAAUGUAGAUGCUUCUAAAUCUGUGGAAAAUGGGGCAGUUGGUUCUCUGUCAGCAAGCUCCAAACCGUCUCUUGCAAAUGGAGUAUGUAAAGAGAGACCCAUCAGUUCUCCAAGCAAUGACAAUUCGAUUCCAUCUGGGGGUUUGCCAUCUCUGCACUUGCCCGUGGUAGUUGUAUUCCAUCUGAUUUGUUUAUUUUCUGACAGCAUAUGGUUUUGGUAUUUAAAAUAGUUCCAGAGUCUAUUAUAUUUGACUUUCUUGUUAUAUUAUACUGUGAGAAUUGGCACCUGCAGUUAUUGACAUCUUGGUGAAUGAUAUCGUAUUUUCAGCUCUAACACUUGAACAAUUGUGGAAUCCAGGUGACCAGUCAUGAGACGAGCCUUAUGGCCAGAUGUCGAAGAGUCUACGCCCAUGCCCAUGACUAUCAUAUUAAUUCCAUUUCAAAUAACAGGUGCAUUUUGUCUAUGAACUAAUUUUGAGUCUUAAUUGUAUGUAAUAUACAUUUUGGUAUUGUUGCUUGGCUGUUACCUGGCAUGGUUUCCAUUUUCUAUACACUAAUGUAUCUUACUUUUUGGUUUUGUAGCGAUGGAGAAACUUUUAUAUCAGCUGAUGACUUGCGAAUUAAUCUUUGGAACUUAGAGAUUAGCAAUCAAAGUUUUAAUAUUGUUGACGUGAAGCCUACAAACAUGGAGGAUCUAACUGGUAGAACCCACGGCACUAUGAUGUCCAUUACUUACUUUUCUAAUUGUUAACUAUUGUUUGAAAUACACGACAAUAAAUGGGGCCUUGUCCCAACUAUUCAGGGUUGGCUACAAGACUCCUGGUCUUCCAUUCUUUGCUAUCCUGUACGAUUUUUCGUUAAGCAAUGUGCAAUAAUAUUUUUCUUAGUUACCUUCGACGUUUAAAGAUUUAGAUGUGUAAAUAUAGUUAUUAGUUUUGAUGUUCCUUCUUUACUUGCUGUUUGUAUUUCUCUCCGUGUGGAUUUUUGUACUCGUUUCCUUUCUUAUGUUUUUUUUUUCCUUUGUCCCCCUUUCAUUAUGUUUGGAUGGCUGUGUAGUAAACUAGAUAUGCCUUAUUUAUAUGCUUUGUUAGUCCAACGGCUCCACAUGUGUAAUUAUGUUUCUUUACAUACUUGACUUUUUAUGUGCAGAGGUGAUAACUUCAGCAGAAUUUCAUCCUACUCAUUGUAACAUGCUGGCGUACAGUAGCUCAAGGGGCUCAAUUCGUCUUAUUGAUUUGCGGCAGUCAGCUUUAUGUGACACUCACAGCAAAUUGUGAGUUGUUCAGUCAUUCUUUCUUCCUUCCGCCCUUUUUUGUUUUUACUCUGUUAAAUGUUUUUACCCAUAAAAUAUGAUUUGGUAUUGGAAAUGUAAAGUUCCUUUGACACUUCCUACUUCCUAACUUAUUUUUUCUCUUCACCAAAACAAAUUUUAAAUAUGAUUUAUGAUAUUGGUGCAGGUUUGAAGAACGAGAAGUGCCUGGUUCAAGAUCUUUUUUCACUGAGAUAAUAGCCUCAAUUUCAGAUAUUAAGUUUGCUAAGAAUGGAAGACAAGUACUUAGUCGUGAUUACAUGACUCUUAAGGUUCAUAUUUUCAUUCUCUUAUUUUUUUAAAAGGUUCAUUUUUCAUACUUUGAACCUUCAGAUAUUCUAAUCCUACAAACAAAGUUACAGAACUACCGAUGCUUGAAAACCUUGUUUUAACAUACAACUAUGGGUGCCACAUCUUAACAUCUCACUUAUAUUAUUAUUUUGUUUUUUGUUUUUCAGCUGUGGGACAUAAACAUGGAUUCUGGCCCAGUUGCAACUUUCCAGGUUCAUGAAUAUCUAAGACCUAAGGUGAUGUAUUCUUUCAGCAAGCCGGUUUAAUCACAGAUGAUCUAAAUGAAGAUGAUACAAUUAAAUACAAUAAAAUGCAACUUAUUUUAGUUCUUUACCUUGCUCAGCUGUGCGAUUUGUAUGAAAAUGAUUCUAUCUUCGAUAAAUUUGAGUGCUGUUUAAGUGGAGAUGGGCAUCGAGUGGCAACAGGUUCUUACAGGUUAGCUUUAUUCUCAUACACAUCCUUCGUUGCUAUAACUUAAACUCUGACCUAUGUUGUGUGCGGCUCAACAUAUGAAGAAACACAUUUCUGUGAUUCCAGCAAUCAGUUUCGAGUGUUUGGUUGUUCUGAAGGGAGCACAGAAGCGACGACAUUGGAGGCCAGCAAAAACCCCAUGAGGUAUCUUUUAUAAGUACAUAUAAUUCUCAUUAGGCGUGCGAUGCUGAAAACCAUUUCCUAUAGCAUAGCAUCUUUUAGUAAGAGAGAAACUCUUUUUCGUUAUUUUCUCUUAAACUGAUUUCCUUAAUUUGUUCUCAUGGGCUUCCAGGAGACAAGUGCAAACGCCAUCAAGGCCUUCUAGAUCUUUGGGCAACCUUCCUCGUGUUCUCAGGCGAGGCAUGUGUUUCAUUGUCAAACUCUGAAACUUUUGAGCAGUCAAGUUUAAUUUACCAUAAUUGAUUUCAACUCAAAGUCUCAGACAAACUUGCUUUUGUAGUAAGAGAAAAUUAAAUUUCAGAGAAUGAAUUAGGUUUGAUAAUUCUCUGAUUUAUUCCCUAUUUAAUUUGAUUUAAUGAGGUUUGGUUGCACUUGAUGGUGAGUAGUCAAGUGAGUCUAAACUCAGAAAGUUAUUUCCAUCAUUGUGUUAGUUUGUAUCUCCACUGUCUAUUUGACUAACCUGUCUAUAUUCUUUUUCUUCCAUUAUAAUAUAAAAGGUGCGGAUAACUCUGGAGCUGAUGCGAACGGAAAUUCUUUUGAUUUCACGACGAAGUUGCUACAUCUUGCAUGGCAUCCUACUGAGAAUUCACUCGCCUGUGCUGCUUCAAAUAGCCUUUACAUGUAUUAUGCGUAAAGAUGGUAUCAGAAGUUGUAUGUUUUGGCAGGCAAAGCUUCUCUCGUUACUAUUGACUAAAGGCUGCUCUGCCUUCUUCCCCGGCUAGUGAUGUGAAGCUGCACCCUUAAUCAGAAACUCUGCAAUCCAUUACCUAACUGCGCAACAUCAGGAAACAUUUUUUAGCUGAUGUCAAAGUUUUCAAGGAGAAAUUAGUCUCUCUCCCUCCCGUUGAUGCGGAAAAUUGAUGUUUAUGCUAUACCAUAAGGAGAAUGCCAUUGUCCUAAUUGUGUCUUGUUAAUUGAAGAGAUGUGAUAUUAGCUCAUCUGCCUACGGAAAGAAUACCCGGUCGAUAUUUGCUGCCACAGUAGACACCAAUCGGGCCCUACCCUGAAGCUGGGAGAAGCUCUAGUGGUGCAUCUACUCUGAUUGAUACCUCGGGGCCUUCAACCUUUGUAUUAUUUGAAUUAAAGUUAAAAGGGUUGGUGAAAUUUUAUCACUGUUUUUAUUCUAACCAUUCUUUCCCCUCUUUCAGAAUCUGCUGAUUUUCUUUGAUCUUUAGCAAAAAAGUAUUGGUUCCUUUGGAUUGAAGGCCCCAUGCAAGACAUAUUCUUUCAACAGUUUCACUGGGAACCAAGAUUUGUGGGUCUUAAUUCGUCUGGUUUUCUGGUGUUUUAUUCUUUAGGUAAUGUUUUUUAUGUAGGCAACUGAUCAUCUUCUAUAUAAAUCAGAGGGUCAUAAAAGUGGAAGCCUGAGACUUGUUUUGUUGAUCAUCUGCUCUGCCCUUCUGCUUAGACUCUGCUGACAUUAGUGUUGCCCUUGGGGCUAGAAACUGUAAAAACUCAACUUCUCUUAUUUAUAACCCACUGUUUUAUGAAAUAUAUGGUAAACCAAUACCGAUGAAACCCUUGUGAAGUGAUUUAUAGUUUUACUGCGUGUAUCGUGCACAUUGUGCAUCAUUUUUCCCAAAAUAAAAUUACCACGGUGAAUUAAUUAUUUCGCUUUAUUGGUAUUAACUUUACUACCACGGUGAAGUAAGAUAAACUUGCUUGAGUGGGCUCAAGGCCUGCACGUCAGGCAUGGGCCGUGGCGGUGGACUUUGAUUUGAUGGUCUCAAUUUUGCCACAUUGGUUACUUUAAAUAAAGAGCAGUAAAUAUCAAUUCUCAAUUAAUUGCCUAUUUUGACAGAGUUUACUAUUACUUUAAAUAAAGAGCAGUAAAUAAAUAGUAUGUGUCUGAUUUGUGAGGCUUUUAUUUUUUUUCAUUUUUUAUACAAGUUAUAUUGAGAGAGUGGAGAUUCGAACACAUUAUUUAGUGUUUAUGAGGUCUUAAUCAAUUGCAUUAUAACUUAUAAGCGAAAUUAGAGGAGGAGGAAUCAAACUUAUGACCUCAAUGUAAGGGUAAAUGCUAUUAAUCAUUUGAAUUUUAUUUCAUAAAAUAUUAAUAUGGAUUAAGUGGUUGAUAAGAAUAAAAAUAAUUUUUACCACAAAAACAAAUAAAUAAUAAAAAGAAGAGCCUCUAAAUCCAAUAAUUUAGGAAAAACAAAUUGUAAAAACGUCCAAAAUAGGUAAAUCCCAUAUGUUCUAAAUUCUAUUCCUAGAAAUUGUCAUUUGAUUCAGAUGCAAAACUAACACGGAGAAAAGAGCUUCAGGCCAUUUCAGCUUCCUCAAACUUCUCCUCCUUCUCUCUGUGUCUCUCAGCUCGAAGCUAAGGUCAUGGCUCUGCUGACCCGAGCCUCACGCAUCCCUCUCCAGCUCUCGGCCCAGCGGGCCCUCUCUCUCCACACGACCGUCCCCUCGCUGUCGUCUUCCUCCCCCUCCGGCUCAACUCCGACCACAUAUGCCCGCCCUCCUCCCCCCUCGGCCUCGCUGCCUCCGGCUGGCCUCUCCAAGGCCGCCGAGUUCGUGAUCUCGAAGGUCGACGAUCUCAUGAACUGGGCCCGCCGUGGGUCCAUCUGGCCCAUGACCUUCGGCCUCGCCUGCUGCGCCGUCGAGAUGAUGCACACCGGAGCCGCCCGAUAUGAUUUGGACCGAUUCGGCAUCAUUUUCCGGCCCAGCCCUCGCCAGUCUGAUUGCAUGAUCGUCGCCGGCACUCUCACCAACAAGAUGGCCCCCGCUCUCCGCAAGUAAGUGACUACCCCUUCCGCAUCUCUUAUUUUGCUGAAUUGCUGUUUAGGGUUUUUGAAUUUUUAGCUAAAAGUUGUUUCUUUUAAUGUUAAUUAGAUUUGUAUUUACCUGCUAGAGUCACAAAUUGGAAAAAUUGGAGCUGCGUUUCAGCAGUGUAACGAAACAUGGCUUAUUGCCCAUUGCUUUAUGAAUCUUUGAUUGAAUGGGAUUAACAUGUCUGCCAUUUACCCAUGUUUGUUAUUUUGGAGUUUCUUUGAGAAACCAACUUUUGUUUUGUUGCAUUUUCAUGCAUUCUGCUAAUAAAAAUGCACAUUUCUAGUUAUGCUGAUAGUUUAAUGUUUACUCUUGAUAACAAAAACUGGUUUGUGUUGCGUUGUGUUGUGUUUCUUUUGAUGGAUGGUCAGUAUUCGGAUAGUAUUAUUACAUUUGUUUUUAAGAAUUUUGAUUUCAUUUGGUUGUAUAAUUUCCUGGAUUUUGGGAAUUAGAAGGUAUUGACCUUUUCACUCUUUGUGUUAUGCUAAAGUAUGCACAAGUAAACAAGGGGGAUAAGUGAUUUUGAUAUCUAUGCUGAAACUUUGUUGCAGGGUUUAUGACCAAAUGCCUGAGCCUAGAUGGGUCAUCUCUAUGGGAAGCUGUGCAAAUGGGGGUGGUUACUACCAUUACUCGUAUUCCGUUGUUAGGGGUUGUGACAGGAUUGUCCCUGUUGAUAUCUACGUUCCUGGCUGUCCUCCCACUGCCGAGGCCCUACUUUACGGCCUUCUCCAGCUCCAGAAGAAGAUCAACAGGCGCAAGGAUUUCCUCCUUUGGUGGACCAAGUGAGGGCAUGGAUUCACCUUGUCUUUUGGGGCAGCUUUGGCUAUAUCUAAUCAAAUAAUAAGUCUAUCCGGGGUGGUUUGCCCUGGCUAAGCACCAUGUAAAGGGAUAAUUUUUUUAAAUUUAGAUCCCAGGGUGUCCUUUGUUGUGCUUUCCGCAUAUUUGUGUUGUUUUUUGGGAGCUAUAAUAGCAACCACAGAUUCUGUAAAACUGUUUUUCUGUUGUUAAACUGGGUGCUUGAACUAUCUGCCAUUGUUUAUCGACAUGUUUGAUUGAUUGCUAGAAGCUGCUAGUUUUCUCUUAAUCUGGGAUCAAAUAAUGUGCCUGUAUUUGUUUAAACUCGCGAAUUUUGUGGUUCUAAUUUUGAGUAGCCCUGUAUUGUUGUUGUUCCAGACUCUCAGAGAUUAUCUUUUAACCCUUCUCCUAAUGUUCCUUAGUAGAUCUCGGCUUUCAAUCUGUAAACUUUUGCUGCUUAAAAGCUGUGGUUCAAGUAUAUAUUCUAAUCAAGCUCAAGCUGUGGUCGGUUGCAUUAUACUAUUGUUCACCCUAUAACAGUCAAGAGCUGUGAUAAAGAACUGAUGAAUAUCGGGAAUUAAUGACACUUUCCUUUUGACGGAUGAACUAAAUAUGAAAGAGUGAUGAUCCUAUUGACGGCUUUUAUUUCUUAGAUCCACCUGCAUUGCUGAUCCUCAUUGCCCGAGCCAGACUCGACAUCUUCAUCUCCACAUGCUACCCUCAUUGCCCGAGCCAGACUCGACAUCUUUGUCUCGAUUGCGUUGUAAUGCAUUACACAAAAGCUUUUUGUGUUUUAAUAAUAUCUCUAACGAUCAAUAAUUUGUUAUUUACCACAUAUAUGGACGAGUUAUUCUCUUAUAAGGUUUUGAAGGGAAAUCUGUUUUCCAGUCCAUUAUGUUAAUAAGCUCCUGAUAAAGGAAAGAACAAUGAUAUAUAGAAAUAAUUCUCUCUUUACAUAUUUAAGUUUAUAAUUCUUUUCUACAAUUACUUCUAUUUUACUUCUUGUCACACAUUACAUAUGCUUCAAACUCUAUGUUAUGUUUUUAUAUGUUGAUCGUGAUUAUACAUUUAUUUUUUCUUUUUAUCAAAAUCCUUUGUAAAAAAAAAUUUAAAACACGCUUGUUACCCGAAAAUACUAUACACGCGCUUUCCGUCCGGUAAAGGCUAUAGACCUUUAUUCCCAAACGCAAACGCCAAAAAAUCUCCGUCCCAUAUAAAAAUCCUACUCGUGCGGACCUCACCCAAUUCCUCACUCCCUCCUUUUUAUCUCUAUCGUCUAGGGUUUCUUCCUCUACGCAACGACAAUGGCCGACGAAGCACAAUACUCCUCUGGUCCCGAUUCGGGGAACAACAAGCGCAAAUACGAAGAGCAAACGACGCCGCCUCCGCGUAGAGCCACUGGCUUCUCAGCCCCCAUCACGUCCUCAUCGCCCGAUUCUGCACCUCCGUCCUACAGCAACGUUCCUCCGCCAGUUGAUGACAUUCAGGUGGCCAAGCAGCGCGCGCAGGAGAUCGCAGCUCGAUUGUUCAACAACGCCAGUGGUGGUGUUGCUGCUGGUGGCCUUGAGGCUAAGCGCCCUAGGGUUGAGAAUGGCUUUGAUUCCAUUGACAAGGGCUUUAGCUCUGCUCCACCUGGUUCGCCUCCUCUCGUUAGAGUUUGCUUUAUUUAUUUAUUUAUUUUAUUAUAUGCUUAUUUGGGUUUAGUGUUCUCUUAGGGUUUUCAGUAGUUUUUUUUAUAGCAUACUCGACAUUAACGAGUUGAUGGUUUUAGUUUUUGCUGGGAUUUGUUUGCUAAUAAUUGAUUUGUUCCGAGGUGCUAUUUGUGUUUUGUUGCAUAUGUGUAUGCUUUGAUUAUGAAUAUGUAUGCAACAAUUGUGAUUGUGUCUUGUUGAAUGCGAUACAGAUUUGAAGCCUCACUUGUCAAACACAGCUCCUUCAUCGAUCCCUGUAUCGUAUGGUAGCUUCCAGGGCUCAAGCAAAAAGAUUGAUGUUCCAAAUGGAAGGGUUGGUGUUAUUAUUGGUAAAGGUGGUGAGACUAUCAAGUAUUUACAGACUCAGUCUGGAGCCAAGAUUCAAGUUACCCGAGAUGGUGAUGCGGACCUCAGUGCUCCAACUAGGAUGGUGGAGCUCAUGGGUACUCCAGAGCAGAUCGCAAAGGCUGAGCAUUUGAUAAAUGAAGUUCUGGCUGAGGUUCUACUUGUGCACUUAAUUUUUAUUUUUAUUUUUUAUAUUUGAGUUUUAUCAUGCAUCUGCUUGUGAUAUAUGUAAAAGUUAAUGCAUUUAAAUUCUGGAUUAUCAUCAUGGUCAUUUUUUGUGCUAAGUUUUAGUUAGAUGAGUUUUAUCAAAUUGGCUUAUAUUUCUGCAGGCUGAAUCAGGAGGUCCUGCCAUAGUUUCACGAAGGUUAACAGUACAAGCUGGUGCUGAACAAUAUGUUACAAAAAUUCCUAACAACAAGGUACAGAGGUUUUUCUGCUUUUAUCAACGUGUUCUAGGGGUUUGGUUCUUUCGGAUUGGUGACUCUGUAAUUCCAGGUUGGGCUUGUAAUUGGGAAAGGAGGUGAAACGAUUAAAAAUAUGCAAGCUAGGACUGGAGCUCGUAUUCAGGUUUGAUUUGAAUCUUGGAAAAGAUCUUGGUCUUUUCUCGUGCAAUUAUCUGUGCUUUUCUUUGUGGAACAUGAAAAACAUAAAGCAUUUUUCAAUCAGUUUUUUUGAUAUAUACCUUCUAUGUAAGGUUGUACCUGGUUUUACUAUAAUAUUGGUAUAUGUAAUGUGCCUUAGUAGUGGAAUCAAAUAUAGCAUGAUGGUUUUGAUUUGAAAGUCUGUAUUCUAUAUAGGUGAUUCCCUUGCAUCUGCCACCUGGUGACACAUCAACAGAAAGGACACUACAGAUUGAUGGGACUAGUGAACAAAUUGAAGCUGCAAAACAGUUGGUCAAUGAAGUUAUUAGCGAGGUAUGUGUGAUUAGUGUUUGCCUAAAAAUUUGGCCUUGUACACUUGUAGUUUGUUGUAGUCUGAAUUUGUUAAAUCUCAUGAGAAGUAAGCUAAAGUAGAUAUGAUUUUCUCAGAUUUUCUUAAGGCUACUUUAACUUCUGUCUAUGCCUUUAAUUUGUGCACCUCUACUUGCUCCAGUUAGUUUUUUCCCCCUCACAUUUGCUUCUUGAUUUGUAGGGCUGCAUUUAGUAUACAACGAAGUUGUUUCUUCUGUUUGGCACUGCUUCUUGAUUUGUAGGGCUGCAUUUAGUAUAGUACGAGAGUUGUUUCUUCUGUUUGGCACCCGUACUGCCCCAUAGUGCUUACUGAAAUAUGUCUACUGACCUGUUUGAAUGGUGAUUAGUCCAGUCUUUCCAAUAUAUCUUAUGUUCUAACUUAUUUUAAUAGCUUUGGUGGUCUCGCACUUUUGCAUUUUGUUCUGGUUUUAGUUUUCUUUCUUGCAGGGUACGUAAGUCUUAAAACGUAUAAUUUUUAUUUUUAAAAACUCUGGCAAAAUAUUUUGUUUAGGAGCUUCUAGAUUAUCUUUAUCUUUUGAAGUAGUAUCACCUCAUAUACAUCUUUAAUCUUAUCUAUACCUCUGUGAUUGAUUUUAUAUUGCGGAUGACUUUAUUCUACAUUCUUUCUUCCAUGAAGUUGAUUAUUGAUCUGAGUUCCAUGUCGGUUACUUGCCUUUAUACUAAACUAUUUUUUCUGAUAUGAGAUAACUUUACCAAACAUAUACCGUCCCUAUAUAUUGUAUUUGGUAGUCUAUAAGGUUGUACAUUUCACCGUGUCAUGAAAGGUGUAGAUGCUUUCCACUAUUGUAAACUCAAAUUUUUUGGCCAGUGUUUGGGCACAAUAUGUUUAAUGUUGCUCUAGUUUUGCACUUGGUAUUUUGAACAUGCUUAUGGACCCAAGUAUCAUGAGGUAUUGAGGAUUGGAUAAGUUUCUAUUGUCCUCAAUUUCCUUUCUUCAUUUUUAGUCUUAUUAAUCCAGAAGUUGUAUUUUCCGCUGAUCUUGUUACCAUGGACAGCAUAGCUGGCUGAGGUUUUAAGUUAACAUUCCAUGUGAACACUGGAAGGAGCCCGCUUCUGCAGUUAUAUAUGCGUUGAGUAUUGAAUCAUAUGCAGGGUUCUAGUUUCAACUUAGGAAACUGGAGAGCAUGGUAAUCAAUUUGGAUCUCCUAUAGAUGAAUCUCUAACUGUCUAUAUAGAACCUGCUGUGUCUUCUGAAUUGUUAUAUUAAAUAGAUAUGUUAUAUAUCUGCAAUAAGUUUCUUCUUCCCGUGUGAUUGAUGCAGAAAGUGGCUAAUUUGACCUUAAUGGACAGAGUGAAAUAGCAGGUUGAACUGCCAAAUUCUUUUAGGAGUGAUUAUUAUGACACGUUGAGCUGUUCUAGGUCAUAUGCUAGCUUAUUCAAAAUUUAGUCUGUGGAGGUCUUAUACAUACAGGUUUAGGUUAUCAAGUCACAUGGAAGCUUCCUUAACUCCAAUAAUGCUCAACGGUACAAUUAGUUGUUCAAUGAGUGAAAUUAUUGGGAUAACAGAUUGUUCUACCAUCAAUGUGCUUAUUUCUAUUGUAUCAUGUGACUGAUUUUCUUAUUGGGAACUGUUGUAGGGUUAGUUUGUAUUGGACCAUUGGUGACACCAACAUGUUAUCCUUUGUGUUGGUGUUCCCUCAGCAUCACUCUGGUAUGGUUCUAAAUCCGAUUUCUGGCAUUUAGUAAUGAUAUUGCGGAGAGAAGCUUUGUCUUGGAAAAAUCGAAGGUUAAUAGUAUAUUUCAGGAUAAUUUGAGUCCCUUUUUUUUAAUUUUUAUAAAUGUGUAAAAUAGUUGUCUUUUAACUCAAUUAAACUAAUGAGAUUUAAAUCCUAGUUUUUUUCUUGUCACUUUGAUUUUAGGCAUAAUUAUAUAGCGCUUCACCUGGGUUGAAGCUUCUAUUAAAUUCUAGAUUUUCUUAAUAUCAUAUUGCAAAUAAUUUAAUUGUUUGUUUUGUAGUGGUUUUUAAAUGUUCUGUGUUUUUAUUGUUGUGGGAAUUUCCUUAGAUUAUUUGUUUGGAAAUUGUCCUUUGCUUCCACUAACUUUUAAUUCCUUUGUCUUUUGCUGGAUUUAAUAUUUAAGUACCAUUUUAUUCAGUCCAGCUUAUUUUUGUUGAACUUGAAUAUAACAAAUCUGUCAGUUUUACCUGCUUUCUCUUCGUUCUCCUCUUUUUUUAAUCCUAUAUGAUGUCUUCUGUUAGAAAGAUAUUUUCUGAAUAUAUCACUAGACAUGAUUUAUGCUUCCUUUAUCCUGAAUUGUUCCAGUCUUCUUGUUCCUUCCCUCUUUUUUCUCGCAGUUCUUCUGUGUAUAACAAAAUGUGGAUGGAUGCUUGCUGCUUAUGUGUUAUGUGCUUAUUCUGUCAAUUUUAGAUCAGCUUCAUACUUGUGGGAAGUUGAAAGGGUCUAUUUGUGUUAGCUUUUAAGAUGAUCCCUGGAGUUUAUGUCCCUGGUUGAUGCAUACAGGUUUUUCUCUAUUGAUAAAGAUUUAUGUCUUUUACAUAAGUUUAGAUAUUUGACUUCGACUGAUUACACCUUUUUUCUAUGUUCCGUAAGUUUGGAUUUUACUGUUGAUCCCAUAAUGUGGUAAGCUAUUAGUGAUGUUUUAGUACAAGGACGAUGUCCAGAAGACUGGAAAUGUUUCUAGGAUGUCUAUUUAUUGAAGCUAAACUGAUUCCUAUGCAUUGCUUGGAUAUUUGCUAAUCUAGUCUAUUGUGUGCAUGUUGCACUUAUUGCCGUUACGUUGUUGCCUCUUGUGGCAAUUAGGGUUAAAUGUCAGUUUGCUUUUUAUGUAAAAGCUUCUAUAUAGUAUUGUGUUAUUCUCGUACCCAUUCACUUCAAAUAGGGAGAGGGUGGGCUUCUGCUGGAGUAACUGAAUUUUUACAACCACCAGUACGGUAUGUAGGCAUUUACACCUUUUUCCAAUAUAAUAUGAAAUCCAUUAAUCACUGUAAGAUGUUUUUUGGUUUUUCCUAUAUGUUAUGUGUUCUGUUGAAUCUUAGAAAUUUUCAUUUAUACAUGUUUCCAAUGUUUGUUUUUGUACAUGCUGUGUUUGUGUUUCUUUAUUCCUCCAUGUCCCAGUAUUAUGGGAAGUUCGCCAUGGUUAUUUUGUUAAAACAAUUUUCUUGCAGAAUCGUGUUAGAAAUCCAGCAAUGGCUGGAGGAUACUCUCAGCAAGGUUAUCAAGCGCGCCCUCCCACUGGCUGGGCUUCUGGUGGACCUCCAAUGCAACAACCUGGUUAUGGCUAUGGACAGUCUGGAGCAUAUUCUGGCCCAUCACCGCAGUAUAAUGCUGCCCAGCCUCCUUAUCCAGGUUAUCCCCCUCAACCAACAUCUGGUGGAUAUCCCUCCAAUUGGGACCAGUCAGCUGCUGCACCAACUCAGCAGACUUCCCAGGGAAGUGGUUAUGAUUACUAUGGCCAGCAACAACCAUCACACCAACAACAAAAUCCUGGUGGUCCCGCUGCACCCGCUGACAAUGCUGGUUACAAUUACGGCCAGCCGCCUGUUUCAGGCUAUAAUCAGCAAGGACAAGGUUAUCCUCAAGAAGGCUACGGUGGGUAUCAUGCACCACCUCAGUCUGGGUAUGGUCAGCCACCAUCGUAUGAUCAACAGCAGGGAUAUUCUGCAGCUGGCUAUGGUAAUGUGAGUAACCCAACUCAAGAUGGACAUACUUCCUCUUAUGGAUCUCAGGGGGAUUCAGCCCAAGCACCACCUCCUGUUCAGCAAGGAUACAGUGCAAGUCAACAGCCUAGCCCUAACCCUGCAGGUUACCCACCCCAAGGGUCUACUCAGCCAGGCUAUGGAGUACCCCCAACUUCUCAAACUGGUUAUGGUAGUCAACCACCAGCUCAGGCUGGAUAUGGAGCUGGAUAUGGAGCACCUCCAGCACAAAAACCUCCUGCAAAUCCCGCAGUUUAUGGGCAAACCACACAGUCGCCCAGCACUCCUGGAGCCUAUGGUCAGCCAGCACCUGUGCAGCCAGGCUACGCCCAUUCUCAGCCCCCACAAUCUGGUUAUGCUCAGCCAGAUUCUGCUACCCGUGCCCCAUCAUCCGGCUAUGGCGCAGCUCAGGCUGGGUAUGGGCCUCCAUCCUAUGGUGCACCACCCGUUGGUCAGCCGGGUUACGGGCAGGCGCCACCACCUUACAAUGCAUCUUAUGGUGCUGGAUAUGCACAACCUCCUGCCUACUCUGCUGAUGCCAAUGCAAAUGGGAACACUCGCGGGACAUAUGAUGCUGCACCUGCUUCACAGGCUGCUCAGCCAAGUGGAGUUGCCAAAACUUCCCCACAGAGUUGAUGUGUUACGGUGAGUGGGUUUUAACAGAUUGGUUAGUGCCCUUGAUGUUUUAUUGUAUUUUCUGUAGUAGCAAGGCUAGUUAGGUUAGUUUGAAUGGGACAUCGUAUUUGGUCUUAUGUGUUUGGUAUUUUGGGUUUGUAAGGAUAUGAUGAUUACAAGAAUUUGUUGGAUCUUGCUCUCUCUCGUUUUCUAUGUUCCCUCUGAAUACUUGUCCAAUCUUUUUCACUCUUGUUCAACUUCCUCUAAAUGGCGGGUGUAUUUGAUUUGUGAAGUGACAUUGAAAAUCCAAUGGAUCCCGUUUGUUUAUUAUAUUCUUGAUGUUUUAAAUGGGAUUUUAACUUGAAAACGAUACUAUUUGUUGCAAUUCUGAUGGUGGUUAUUAUUAUUAUCUUUUGGACGGAAAAAAAAACACCAUCAGAAUUGCAACAAACAGUAAAGAGUCUGAAGGAUUAUUAUGGGACCCAAAAACAAAGAAAGAUUUAACUCAUUAUUAACAAAUUAGAAGGUUUUUAUUAAGAAAUAGAAAGAUAUGCUGAGAAUGUAUUGAACAGAUUUCGAAUAAUAGUUGCUAUAAACUUAUUUCUAAUAAUAGGCGCAUAGGCACUUAAAAAAGAAUGUAUUUAUUUAUACCUGUUCACAUUUAUUUUUUCAAAUAACCUCUCUCGACGAGAUUCCGUCGGCAGAGAUCUAUCCCGGCGAAGUUUGCCAAAUAGAUCUCUCCUGACGACAUUUCGUCGGAACAGGUUCUCUUGGUUUUUUUAAAAUAAAUAUAUUUUAGAAAUAUAAAAAUAGAUAUUAAUUUGGCAUUAAAAAAAAUAUUGAAAAAGGACCCUCUUAGUUGCAUUAGUUUAUACUUUAUCGAUAUUAAUUUGGUAUAGCCGUGCGGUAUACAACUUAAAAGUUCGGCCAUUAUAUAAUAUGUGAUAAUUAUGAGAUAUAAUGUGUAUAAAACGUGAAUUAUUAAAAUUUUUGUAAAAGAUACAUGUAUUAAAAAUGAAAAUUACGCAUGUCCAUGCGUAUAAUAGCGCGGCUAUACUAUUUAUUUUUUUUUUUUAAAAAAGCGGAGUGAAGCCCUGGGGCUAUACUCUUUUUUUCUUUUUUUUUUAAAUUCGAAAAAACAGGGUAUAGCCGGGCGGUUAUACUAUUUCCUUUAAAUUUUUUUAAAAAAGAGUACCGCCACGCGGCUAUACUAUUUAUUUAAAAAAUAAAAAAAGCCGAGUAAAGCCCGCGCGGCUAUACUAGAAAAUUAAAAAAACGGAGUACAACUGUGCGGCUAUACGAUUUCUUUUUAAAAAAAUUGAAAAAACCGAGUCUAGCCGGGCGGCUAUACUAUUUCUUUGAAAACAAAUUUAAAAACCGAGUCUAGACGGGCGGCUAUACUAUUUCUUUGAAAACAAAUUUAAAAACCGAGUCUAGCCGCGCGGCUAAACUAUUUCUGUUUUAAAAAAUUGGAAAACCGAGUAUAGCCGGGCGGCUAAACUAUUUCUUUUAAAAGAAUUGAAAAACCUUGUAUAGCCGACCGGCUAUACUAUUUCUUUUUUACACAGCUAUACUAUUUCAUUUAAAAAAUUGGCAUAAACCGAGUAUAGCCCCGCUAUACUAUUUAAUUAGCAUAAUCUUGAUUUCUCAUUUUUAGUUACUUUGAUUUGUAGUUAUCUUGUGAUUAUUAUUUACUUAGUGAAUAAUUAAUAUCUAAAUAUUUUAUUAAAAUAAAAUAAUUAAUGACUAUUUAUUAAGUAAUAUAAUUUAUGAAGUUAAUUAAAAUAUUUAAUAUUAUUAUUCACUGAAAAAAUAAUAAUUAAAACAUAAUUACUAAUGGAAGUAAUUAAAUAAGGCUAAGAUAUUAUUUGAUUAGUAAAAAGAAAAUUUUGAAAAAAAAUUUAUUGACCUAAAGAUUAAGUUCUAUUGGCAAGAUAAUCAAAUUUUAUUUAAAACUACAUCAAAUAAAAUAUAUUGCUGAUUCUUAACAUUGAAAAUUGUUUACCAAAAUGAAAUUAGCCCAACAAAAAAACAUGAGUUUUAAAUAAAAUAAGGGGUUGCCCGAUUUCAUUUGUUUGGCAUUGCUGCCAUGUGAAAAUAAUCGCUGUCAGAUUUGCUGUGAGAGAAAUCAACUGUGAGAGAAAACAGUUCGGUGUUUGGUAAAUUUUUUGUUAAAAGUGUUGUUGGUAUUGACUUUACACAUAAUCAGAAAAUGAUUGCUGCAUAAUCAUUAAACCCAGCGCCUCUUCGAAACUGAUUCUUGCAUAAUCAAAAAAUGAAAGCACCUUAUUAGUUGCUUUCCUUUAUAAUUUUUCUCACAGCAAUUUUUAAUAAUAAGUGAUUUUCUCACAAUUUAUCAAACGGGUUGGGCUUCUCAAAAUUUUUAAAAAAUUACUUAUUAUCCCAAAUAAGCAAUGUCAAAUGAGCACUAAGGGGUGGCUUUGAUGACGUGGAAUGAAUUUAGUGGCGGGAAUGAACACCGGAUAGACUUCACCGGACAGUAAUAAAUUGCACGCCAAACUUUGCUUGGUCGCUACUCCACGACUGUAGCGUAAAAACCCCCAAACAAAGAAAAAAAAUACCAAAAGUUCUCUUGUAAACGAGAACAGAGCACCAGAGCAGCAAGGUAUGUUGUGCUGUUUAUGAAUCUGCAAUUUGAUUCUCUACGCAUUCGCUUGUUUCAGAUUCUUCUUGCAUAUGAUAUAUCCAUGGUUUUUAAUCUGUUAAAUUCAACUCCCACAAAAACCCAUAUCUGUCAAAAGCUUUUUUUGGCAUGGUCUGGUCUGUUUUGCCUGAAAAUUUUCACUUUCAAAUAUGGUGAUUUCAUUUUGAGACGAGACAUUAGUUUCAAGAUACCAUUUUGGUUGGUUAUCUAUCUUUAAUCCAGGGAAAGAAAAAGGAAAAAAGAAAACUGAUGAUGGCCUCGAAGCUGGUUCAAUUGCAAGGCAAGGCUACUCAAGCUUCAAAGGUUGCGGCUGAGUAUGGAUCUUCCUAUUACAAGCAGCUUUUGGAGAAGAACAGGCAUUACAUUCAGGAGCCACCCACUGUUGAAAGAUGCAACCUUUUGUCCAAACAGUUGUUUUAUACCCGUCUUGCAAGGUAAACCUUGCUUGGCUUGCCCUGUCUGAUUUCAAGAAGAUUUCUAUUAGAGACACAUUGCUUGGCUUGCCCCCUUGAUCUCUAUCAUUAUCUUUUACAGUAUACCGGGGCGCUAUGAAUUGUUGCGGAAGGAGGUUGAUUCUGUCAAACAACUGUGGAAGAACAGGCAGGAGCUGAGGGUGGAAGAUGCUGGGAUUGCUGUCCUGUUUGGCUUAGAAUGCUUUGCCUGGUUUUGUGCUGGUGAAAUUGUAGGUCGGGGAUUUAAAUUCACUGGUUACCAUGUCUAGGUUCCGGAUGGCCUUGAUCUAAUUAGUUGAUUUUGUUUUCUAUAUUUAGAUUCAUUGUUAUCAGAGAGAUGAAACUCAGAGGAACGAAUUUAUUAACCCAUCAACCAUUCUCCAUUUUAAUGUUAUAUCUAUCUACUGCGCACGCACCAUUAUGCUUUGUAUGCACCUUAUCUAGAAUUGCACUUGAAAGAUCCCAAUUUGUGGACUUUCUUAGACAUACUAGAUUCAAUGUUCAAUUAAUCUUGGCUCUCUCUCUCUGGGAAGCGACACUCUAGUUUUUCAAAUUAUUGGAAACCACCAUAAAACGAUGAUACUCAGUCUUCAGAAUCUAUGCUUUCAUAAAUCAAAGCAACGUUCACCAAAAUUAUUACAAAAAGAAUAUUAAAAAAAAAAUAAUACAUAUCCUGGAUGAAGGCCUAAAUACAAAACUUCUCUCCUAAAGAUGUUGAGAGUAGGGAUCUUUUGCCUUUUAUCUUUCCGUGUUGUACGAGAAAGCCAGUAUAAUAUUGGGUAGUAAAAUAUCGUAAUAUCCUUUAAAUAAGGUGGUUCCUAAAUGCCAUUAUCAUUUUUGGUGAAAAAAACAAAAUGAACGCCAAGAAGGAACCAAAGAACAGUUUGAUAGCAUAUCUAGCAGGGUCGUGAUCAACUUCUUCUGAGGUAGUUCUUGGGGUUGACAUGGGUUUUGCCAGUGGUGCGGCUUCAAUUACUGCAUCUGCUAGAUCCAUAAUAAAUGAAGGAGUACAGCCAAGGGCAGGCACUCGGCCCCAAUUCUCAAUGCCGGAUUCGAGGGCCAAUUCCUUGUACUCCAUAUCAAUCUCUUCAAGAGUCUCUAUGUGCUCACUCACGAAGCUGGACAAGAAAUAGAUGUCAGAUUUACUUAAUUCUCUUUUGAGUGAUAUGAAGAACCGAAAAUGUCAGAACCACAAACCAAAUGGUAUUCUCUAAUAGCCCUAGAUAUACAAGACAUCAGAGUGUCAUGAUGAAGUGAAAUACCUGACUGGAACAGCUAGCAGACUUUUCACACCUUUCUGGCCAAGCUCCACAAGAACUUCAUCAGUAUAGGGCUUCAGCCAUUGUACAGGACCAACUCGGCUCUGAUCACAACCCAAGCACAAAAUAAGGAGGAAAAAUAAUCAGAAAACAACAUUUACACAAGUUGGAGCCCUACAUGGUAGACAGCAACCAACAAAAGUUCUGAGAAUCAAGAAAGCCAGAAAAGUAAAAGCUAGAACUCAGAAAAUGGACUUUUAUAACCAACCUGAUAAGCAAGAGUAUGUUCAUUGUUGAUCCCUCUAGAUUUCAACUCUUUCAUUAUUAAGAAGAUGCACUCCUCCAUUUGAUCUUUGUAUGGAUCUCCAGCAUCCUUCACAUAACUCUCUGGUACCCCGUGGGCACUGAAGAAUAUCAUGACCUAAAUUUCAUACAAAAUUAGUAAUGCUUACCAGUGCUGUUAAGUUAGUGGAAUAACCAUACAAUAAAUUUGAAAAAUAUGCUUGAUAGCAUCAUUUGACCAAAGAGAAACAGAAAUUUAAUUCCAUUGAAAGAGCCAUUUCAGAUGAGUCCGUGAAUUAAUCAAGCGCACCUGUGCAGGCUCAGAAAAUGUUUCUAGCUCUUUGGAAAUCAAAUCAGCCAUUGACUUAAUAUAGCCUUCACGUUGAUACCAUGAGUUUAUAAUAGAAACAGGCAACCUUGAUAGGUAGGCGUCUUUCCUGCAAGUGGGCUAACAUUCAGGAAAAAUUGAACAAUGUAUAAAAAUGUAUGUAGUUACAUAAAUUGACAGUGAAAUGUCACCUGAAAAUAUCUUGGAGCACACGAAUGCUUGAUCCGGUUGUAGAGAUAGAAAAUUGAGGAUAUAGAGGUAACACAACAAGCCUGGUUAUUCUGUCUUUCUUAAUCUGCGAAAGGUAAUGGAAGAAAUUUCAGUUAUUUGAUUCACUCAAAUAGAAGAUAGAUGUAUAGAUUGAAGACUUUUAGGUGACAAUUCUAUCUUUUCACAUCAUUUACAUUAACCAAAUCAAGUAGCUUACUCCUUGGAAGUAUUAAUAUAUGAUAUGUGUGUUAUACAUGUAGAAAUUAAAGACUCACUUGCUGAACUGCUUCCUCAGUGAAUGGGUACCAGUAACGCAUUCCCACGUAGACAUUUACAGGCAAGUCUUUUGACUUCAAAGCCUUUUUGAGUUCAUUUGCCUGUAAAAAGUAGCAAAAACCAUGUAAGUGCGAAAAUAAAAGAACAAACCAACAAAUAGUCUAUUUAAUAAUAAUUCUUGCAGAGCAGUUAUUCUUUUCUUUGGUAAGGAAACAAGACAGAUUAUACAAACAAAACUAAAGGAAACAUUUCAACCGGACAAGUCAUGUAUCUGCUCUACCUGCUCAUCUGUUAUUUUUCGCAACGGUGAACCACCUCCAAUAGCAGCAUACCCUUCUUUGCUUUUGGGAGCUCGAAGCACAGAAAUUAAUUUUGCCAAUGGUUGCUGGAGAAACUGAAACAACCUUGGGAGCCGGAUGAUAUCCUGGUUCACACAACAUGGCAAUUUAUCAGUAAAAGUGUGUAAACAACUAAUGGGGACACAGACUAGGCAAGUAAGCUUGAGUAGAACAUACCGGAUCCGCAAAUAGAUUGAACAAAAAUGGUUGAACAUCUUGAAGCGUCUCUGGCCCUCCAAGAUUGAGGAGGAGGACUCCCACUUUCUCUUCCGCAGUAUGGGAAUGAGAUUCUACCGUCCCAGCGUAAGUGUAUACACCCGCAGGACAUAAUGUUUCCCCAACAGGGCUUUUCUUACAAGAAUGUGAUACCCCAAACAUGUCUCCUUUAUCGCUUGGCGUAGAGCACGAAACCGUGAGCUGUUUCGGAAGUCGCAAUCUCUUGGAUGAAUGGCAAGAGUCAAAUCCAAGGGAUCUCGAGGAAGAGCACGACCUGCCACUAAAUACAUAUACACAUUUACUCAAUAUCUCAGCUCAACAGAAACUCCGAAACUUUUAAACCAAAACCCAAUUGCCAUAACUCAAAGCUUCUAUUUGGUGGUUGUAAAAACGUAAACUUUUAAUACGAUUUUCCGGGAAACAAGAAAGCCAUAGAAGAGAAAGCUUACGCUCAAGAAAUUGAAGGACUUUCUUGCAUAAUUUAUAUAAAUAUAUGAAUCUAAUACCAUAAAAGAGCCAACUUUACUGAUCCAAACACAAAAACACAGACAAUUUUUUACGAUCGGAGGGCUUACAUCGAUAAUUUAUGAUCCGAAUGGGAAAGCUUCAUUUGGGGAAGAACCCCGGAGCAUGAGGUGGCGUUCAUGGCGUUUGGCGUCCAAAAAAUAAACACAAACUUUUCUCAGAACCUUGAAGCGUAACAGAAACGUCUCAGCACUUCUUUAACAAAGUCGCUACCCUCUCUGUCUCUUAACUACUCUACUACCUACCUUCUCACUCUGCUACUAAUUCUAAUUUUUGGUUGAAUACGUGUUUGAAUAAUUGGACCAAAAACUAACGAAUACGUGUUUGAAGACUUCAACCCCCACGUCAGCGAGUCUAACCAAAAGGCGGUUGCCAUUGUUUACCCUUUUUUUACCUGGAAGUUCGCCGUCACGUGACGUCACGUGUUGAAAUAGUUGGGCCUGGGAAAGCUCAAAAUGAUGUGUUUAGCCCAAUAUAAAAGUCAGGCCCAACUAUUUCAACACGUGGGCUUUGAAAGUGGGCUUUGACUUGAUGCUUCUUCCUCGUACACGUUUAGGGUUAGGCAUCAGCACCUAUAAAUUCGUAGUUAGCUCAGUCCCUCAUGCCUCUUCUCUUCCAUAUCUGCCUACUUUUCCAUCUGGAACUCAAAAGCUGCCUGCAAUUGUUCUCCGUUACUUGGAUUACAGUGUUGUAUGAACGCUUCUUGGUAAUUAAAUUUCAUUUGAAUUAUAUAUAUUUGUUUUGGGUUCUGGUUUCUGGGUUGUGGGUUGUGUUUGUUUUCAGAAAUUGAAACCGGGGCUCCAUAUUCGAGUCAACAGCAGGCGCCCAUAUUGGUGGCGACCCGACUGCCGCUUGGAGCCGAUAGUAAAAUUAUAGUAGUGGGUGAAGAUCCUUGAAACUCAAACCCAGUUUGUUUCAUGACACAAUAUCCACUAUACAUUUUUUCAUCUCUCUGCUGUUUUAUUUAUUAUUUUAUUUUAUUUUUCUUAAAAUAAUUUGUUAUGAUUGCAUUUUUUUUAACUGGUAAGGUAAAAGUGAAGUAGGAAGAAGUGAAUUUUGGCACUCCAGUCAGACACGGGUGUUUGUUACUGAAUUACAAUAACAAUCAACCUUUUGCAUGGUGCCUAUAAAGAGCUACUUAUCACGAUUGGAGGAAAGCCAUUCAUUUUCCACGCUUUCCUUCAAAUUCAAAGCAGCUAAAUCUUCUUAAGUAUUUUCUGGUCUAGCUUUCAGUACAUCAAGCAAAUUGGUUUUUUUUUUUUUAAAUUACAAUCUGUUGGGUUUUGAUUCUUUUGGGUCCCUGAAAACAAUGGGUUAAAGACCAUAAUAAUGUUGAAUCACCAGAAGCAGAGAUUAAAGAAGCCUCCCUGUAAAUGAAAAUAAUGAAAGAGUGUUUUGGGCUCUAAAUAUACGAGUCAACAGCAAGAACCAAUUAAAUUCCAUGGUGCCUUGACUGCCGCUUGGAGCCAAUAUGAUAUUUGCCAAUAGAAAUUGUUUAGCUUGAAAUGCUCUCUGGUUUCAUGCUACAAUCUUUGGCUACAUUCAUUCAUGAUUCAACGUCUCACUUCUCAUAAUGGGUUAAAAUUGUAGUUUCAGUGGUUGGAUUUGAUGCCUUGUUCAAUUGUUUUGUGAUGCCUUGUCUAAUUUGCUGUUUCGAUGUUUGUGUGGUUGCAGCCUUGCAGAUUGCAUGUUAGACCCGUGAUUAUCUACAAAAGGCUUGACAAACAAAAACAACCAUGAGGUGAAGACUUGUUCAAGAUUUCGAAUUAUUCUAACGGUCCGACAGUUGUGUUGAACGUGAUGUCACUCCAUGAUUCAUCGGCAUCGGAUUCACUUUUGGAUUUUCCGAAGAGUCAAGAGUCACCAAUCCAAAAGGAGCUGAGGCCUAUUGGCCGAAAGGUGGCUAAGGCGAAGAGAAGGAGUAAUUCUUGCAAUAAUACAUCAAAAAUUUUGGAGGAAAUUGUGAGGCAUGGCGCCAUGAGAAUUGAAAUAGACAUACGCGCCCAAGCAAACGAGAGGACAAUUCAAGAAGAAUAUGCAAAAGAAAGGGAGUAUAUACGCAAAAAAAAUAUUGACAAGCAAGACCGGGAAACUAUGGCUAUGAAUACAAGCCAUAUGUCCCCUGAAACAAAACAAUUUUGGAAGUUAGAACGAAGGGAUGUUAUGAGAAGAAGACUCUUCCGUGAGGAUGGACCUAGCAACACGGAUUGGUUAAAUGAUCAAAAUCAUUAAGUUAGUUUGCUUGCCUUUUAUUUCAUUGUAUUUUAAUGUUUUGUAUUAAAGUAGUUGUAAUUCAUGUAUUUUAUUUAAUUAGUAGUAAUUCUAAAUUACUUGUAUUGGUUUUCUUUGAGUGAAUAAAGAAAGCAUUCAAGAAAAUACAUUUUUAUUCAACACAUUUCAUACAUCAAACAAAAUAUAAUUUUAAAAAAACCACAAUCAAAGCAUAAUUAAAAAAAAAAAUCACAACCAAAGUUUAAUUAAAAAUAAAACAUAAACAAGGCAUAAAUAAAAAUAUUCUAAAAGUUAAUUAUUUAGGUUUAAAAAAAAAAAAACCAAAAGUAAAUAGUAUUUGUUCUUCGCUAUGACAAUAUGUGAAAACACACAUUGCUUUUUGCAAGGGCAGCCACUAUUCAUGUAAAUAGUGUCUUCCCUAGCCCCCCCCUUGCCCUUUGCCAUGGCAAAUAGGUGAAAAUGCUCUUAUGUACUUGCAAACAAAAUGGACGAAAUAAAAAGAAUUUGAGUUUCAGUCAAUCAUGCUCGUUUUAUCAUUGCCAUCAAGUCUGUAGAGUUCCCAGCGAAGAGGAAUUAUUCAAUAACAACUUACCAACAAAACCUAAAUAUCGGCACAUAUCGCCAAUGAUUCAGGCAAAGCAACAAUAAGUUCAUUAUCAGAAAGGUUGUUUACAUCAUUGUGUAGUUUGAAGUCCUAGGUUUCAAACGCAUCACUUUAAUCUAUAUUAUCAUAACAGACUAAGGUCUGGAGCAGACAAAGGGAUGAAGAAAGUACAGCUGCAACCAACAAAAUCCACCUCAAGACUUCUCUUUUCAGAUUUUUUGGAUUUAAAUACUAGUACAGUCAUGAUUUAAAAUUUAAGAAUUCAUAAUCACAGGACAUCGGUUUCUAAGAUGGCACUGAUUGAAGAAUGAUCAGGAGUCAUUAAUCAGGUUCUGGUGUACAUAAGAGCAAGUCCAGCAGUGGGAGCUGGACUCGGGCUGGGGGGGAUUUGGGCAAAAAACGGAGGUCCAGCAGAGAAGAAGCAGCCCGGGCGAGCGUGGGGUCCACCAAACAGGGCAGGCCCGAAGGCGAUUUCGGUCCGAGCUCGGGCCCGAGGUGGAUGACGUCAUUGCUGACGCCAGCGUGACGUCAACCCUUACGGAUUCAAAUUUUUUUUACCGUUGGCGCGUGCACGCGCCAACGUUAAAAAAAAUUUCGAAUUCACCGCUACAGUAGCCGCCAACGGCUACUUGACACGUGGCAGCCUCUGGUCGCUCCGAUUCGAAUUUUUUCUUCAAUCCAACGGCAUCCAAUUUUUCUGCAAUAAAAAAUUGAAAAAAAAUCGAAUUUUUUUUUAAAAAAUACACAAAAAUUACUGAAUUUUUUGUGUAUAAAUACCAACCAAUACUCUUCACUUUUAAUACCAAAUCCUCAUAUAUUUCUUCUCCUUCUACUAUUAUUCACUUUCUCCUCAAAAUUUAUUUACUUUCUAUUCAAUAUUUUUUCACUUUGAAGUUGUAUUUUUUUUCUAUCAUAUUAUGGGUUCUUCUAAUGAAAAUGGAGGGGCAUGGAGCAUGAUGGAAGAUGUUAGCUUGUGUGAGGCUUGGGUCCAAGUUAGUUUGUCCCGUAACGGGCAAUGAGAUGAAAUUUUCUCAUAUGUGGAAAAAAAUUCAUCAAGCAUUUUGUGAAAGGGCAAUUGGUUCUACACGUACAGAAAUGACAUUAUCCAGUAGGUGGAAAGUUCUUAAUAAAGAGUUGGUGAAAUGGAGAAAUGCCUUAGCAAAAGCGAUGGACAAGCAUCGAAGCGGAGAAAACCUUAGCAGUGAGGUAAAUUAUUUGUCAUUUUCCUUCUAUUAAUUUCUAUGUCAUAUUAAUUUUUAUUUAAAUGUUUCUUGCAAUUUAUAUAUUUUGUUAAUAUGUCUCUAGUUUUUUUUUUUUAUAUACAUGUUGCAUUUUUUUUUAAAUUUAUUGAAUUUGCAUUAGUUUUUUUUUACAUGUUGCAUUGCCAAUAUUUUUUAAAGUUUCUUGCAUUUCCAUUUAAUUUUUUUUUAUAGAUUAUGCAAGCUCAAAUGUGGUUUGGUGCUACGGGGCAAGGGAAAAAAAGUUUCAACCAUACCCAUUGUUGGGAGGUGGUGAAGACUUGUAAGAGAUUCCAAAUUAUUCCAACCGGUUCGACGGUAGUCUUGAACGAGACUCCACUUCAUGAGACGCCGGCAUCGGAUUCACCUAUGGAUUCCCCGAUGAAUCUAGACUCACCCAUUGAAAAUGAGCUAAGGCCUAUUGGGAGGAAGGCGGCGAAGGCGAAGAGAGGGGGUAAUUCUAGCAAGAAUGCAUCUCAAUUUUUGGAGGAACUUUCAAAGCACCAAGCCAUGAGAAUUGAAAUGGACUUGAAACAACAAGAGCACGAUAUGGCUAUUCAAGUAGAAUAUGCAAAAGAAAGGGAGUAUGUACGCAAAGAAAGGGAGUAUGUACGCGAACAAAAUAUUGAAAAAAAAGAUCGGGAAACCAUGGCCAUGGAUACAAGCUAUAUGUCCCCUGAAACAAAACAAUUUUGGAAGCUAGAAUGAAGGGAUGUUAUGAGACGAAGACUUUUUCAUGACGAUGGACCUAGCAACACGGAUUGGUUAAAUGAUGGAAACCAUUAAAAUAGUUUUUUGCCUUUCAUGUCUUAGUUUACUUGCCUUUGAUUUCAUUGUAUUUUUUUUUGUUUAAUUCAUGUAUUUUAUUUUAUUAUUAGUUGUAUUGCUUUUCUUUUAGUCAAUAAAGAAAAUAUUCAACAAAAAUCCUUUUUAUUCAAAACAUUCCAUACAUAAAAAACAAACUACAACCAAAGCAUAAAAAAAAUAAACAAACCACAACCAAAGCAUAAAAAAUAUUAUCCGAAAAUAUUAUUCAAAUUAAUUGUUUAAGUAAACAAAGUUGUGAAAAAAACAAAAAAAUGAAUAGUAUUUGCCAUGGCAAGCCCCCAACUGCUGGAAACACAUUUUGCUGGAGGGAGCUAGGGCAGCCACUAUUCACGUGAAUAGUGGCUGCCCUAGGGCUCAUCUUGCCAUGGCAAGAGGCAACCGGUGGAAAUGCUCUAAGAAGAGCCAAAAACUACACUCAGCUAUCCUCAAAUUGCAGAAACCGAAACCAGAACCAAAUUUUAAGACUGGGAAAUGUCACAAAUUCGCAAGUAUCCUUAGAAGCAACAAGAACAAUCAAAUGGACAAAGCGGUGUGCUUCCAGCAUCUGCCUUAUUAAUUCCCAACUCUUCUUCUGUAUAGAUAGCAAAGCCAUCCUGCGUUCUCUUUCGAGAACUCGACAACUUGUUCAGAGCGGCCAUCCUGGCCACGUUUUGAAACUUUGAAUACCUAAUGAACAUCUUUGGGCAAGGAAUCCCCAUUUAAAAUUUAAUUGGAAUGAUUAACAAUAAAUAUCAUUACUUAACUGUACUGAAACUUAGAUUUUUAUUAUUUACGGAGAAUCAGAGGGAUAGCAGAUGGUAAAAUAAAACUAAAAAAGAAUAAGGUUUCCUUCAUUGUGCUCAAUUUUUAUAGUUUUCAUGUUCUAGAAAAUUAAACAUGGUUUUUGAAGCAGUACAAAAGGCAGUGAAUAAAUACCUUGUCUGGUACUCCAACACUCCUUGAAAAUUUUCGACCAAAUCCAACUCCUUAAAACUACAAGAAGACGUGUUUCAAGGCUGAAACGUUGAAUAUUUUCAAGUAACUAUGGGACAAGCUAAUAUGAAAGCAAUACCUGAAUGGCUUGCAUUCCUUGAACACCUGAAAACUCAAUGCCAUCUUGGUUGAUGAACCUAUUUUAAGCAAUGCAGUCUUGUUUUUAGUAUUUUCAAAUACAAAAAAUGCAAUGAAGUGAACAUUGAACACCUAUCAAAGACUGUUUUGAUAUUUAUUUUAUUCGAACUACACCAAUAUAAGAAAUCCGGGCCUUAGGUAGAAAAUAUUAAAGUUCAAACUUAUGCACUCAUCUUGGAAGUACUUGUUCCAUCAACACCACCAAUAAUUGAAAUGCUCUUGAUCUUGACAUCUGAUGUAAAUCUAUCAGAAAUAAAUGAACAAAAUAUAACUCAAUCAGAAUGUAAAGUAACGACAUCAGAGAUAAAUUCGUCUUAGAAUGGUAGGUUUUAAUAAAAUUUCUCAAGAUGCAACGCAAAUGUUUCAAAAUUAAGUACAGCUAGUUUAACAUCAGAUAUAGCAGAUGAGCACAAGAACAAAAGAUAAUUAUAAAUGACACAAAAAUUAAUUUGUUUUAGGUGAACCUGGGGAUGCUACUAAGGUUGAAUCCCAUACUCAAACUCAUACAGAUUUGACCAUGGAGAUCUAACAAAACAUGUUACUAUUGAAAUUGAAUGAAAAUAUGGAAAAAUGGGUAUAACUACUCAACCAAUGGAUCUCCCUGUCCCCAUCCAUUUCAUGUUUAUGCAUUCUUUAACUCAUGUCCUGAAGAUAACACAUAAAACAACAAAAAUGGAUACUCACAGAAUGUAAACAAGUAACUCAGGAUCACCCUCAUUGCUCUCCAAGUGUUCCUGUUGCAGAAAGUAGGAUCAGAUGAGGCUUCACAUGCCUAAUAAUUGAAACAUAAAUUAAAACCAAUAUAUAUAUGGUAAAUCUGAACUGAACCUCAACCAAUGGUUCAUGAUCUAAGGUCUGCUGCUGUAGACAAAGGGUGAAGAAACCUCAAGCCUUCUCUUUCAAAUUUUGGACUUAAAUACUUGGUACAGUCAUGAUCUAAAAUUAAAGAAUUCAUUAUCAGAGUACAGAGAGUUAUAAGAUAACACUGGCUGAAGAAAGAUCAAAUUCAUUUAACCAGGUUCUGUUGUACAUAAGAAAAGCCGAAAACUACACUCAGCUAUCCUCAAAUUGCAAAAACCAAAACCAGAACCAGAACCAAAUUCUUUUAUGACUAGGAAAUGUCAUGAAUUCACAGGUAUUUAGAAGCAACAAGAACAAUCAAAUGGACAAAGCGGGGUGCUUCCAGCAUCUGCCUUAUUAAUUCCCAACUCUUCUUCUGUGUAGAUAGCAAAGCCAUCCUGCAUUCUCUUUUUCGGUUUAGAAAGCAGGUCCCCAAAUCCACCAUCUCUAAUCCUUUUGUCUUUCUUCUUUUUAUUCAGCUUGUUGGGGUUUUCUAUCCCAUCUCCAUUUGGAUUUUUAGGCUUUUCAGACUUUUCGGUUUCAGGUUUCUUCCUCUUCUUCCCUGCGAAUAUUUCAUCGAUCUCAGAAGUUCGCUUUUUGGCUGAAGAUGAGUGUUUUUCAAUCCCAUCUUCAACUGGUUUUUUAGCCUUUUCAGUUUCAGGUCCCUUCCUCUUUUUCCCUGCGAAUACUUCAUCAAUCUCAGAAGUAGGUUUUUUGGCCGAAGAUGAGGCUUUUUCCUCUUCUACAGUAGAUGUAUUAUCUUGCAUCUCUCUGGGAGUUUUUGAUUUACUCUUUUUGCCCAUCUUAUGGAUCCAAAAGCUGCAUGUCAUCCAGAUUACAUUACUGAGAAUUGACAGAACAGAGAUUUAAAAAGAAAAAAUGGAAUGGAAACUUUCCAUCCAAGAACAGAUUACUCAAAAACUGGAGCCCCUGGAGGCAACAACUCCUUUUGGGUCAACUUGCCAGACUAACUCAGUUUGUAAACAAUCAAAACAACAGAAGGAACAUGAAACUGGAAAUUUAGGUUACAGGAUAUCUGCUCCUCAUUAGCUUCCUAGCAACCAAACAUAACACAAACGAAAAACAGAAAAUGGAAAAUACUGAUUUCAAUUGCAAUUUCUCAGCUUGUAGGCUUUCAAUUUUCAUAGAGACGAAUUUCUGUGAAACAUGGACUUGAUCAAAAGAAAUAGCCCAAUAAUUAUUACAAAAGCUCCAAUUUUGAGAACUCGACAACAUGUUCAGUGCUAUCGAAAAUUUGAUAAAUUUCAAACAAAUGCACUGUAAGUCACAGAAACAAACACAGGAUAGUAAAGAAAGAACGCACAGAAAAAUAAAAAAGAGUUCGAGUUGUUGGGAAGCGCUAACCUUUAGGUUGUUGAUAAACAGCGAGAAAGAGUGAGUCGCUAAAACACUAUCUUGAUGAAUCUGCAGAGAUACCAGCGAGCUUUGUUGCAGAGUUGCGAGCAACGAAGUAUAAAACCAUUUAUUUGUUUUUUGUUUCUGGCGAGCUUUUUAGCUAAAACCCUAGCUUGAUGUGGGAUAUAAUUCGUUCCCACGAUUUAUGAUUUAAAAAUAAUUUGGGUUUUGCAAUUAAAUUAGCCCAAUAAUAAUAAUCCCAUAGCCAAUCGGGUUUUGAUGGAAAAUGACAUUGACUUACAGUGUGUUUGGAUGAGGAAAUUUAAAAAUACAAAGAAUUUCAUAAAUGACGGAAUUUAAUGUUCUAGAAUUUACAAAGUUUCUUGUUUUGGUAAUGGAUUUAAAAUACGGAAUUUAACCUUUAUUUGUAAAGUUGUCUUUUUUAAAAACUCAAUCUCUCUUGUAAUUUUAAAAAUGACGACUUUUAGAUAGAAUUUAAAGUUGGGAUUUAUGAUCUCCAAAUUCUUUUUUUUUUUUCCCACGCUGAAUUUCUAAAUUUAUAUAUAUUUUUAUCCAAACACGAGAAUUGGUUCAUGGCAAUUUAGAAAUUCUAAAUUUUGUCAAAAUCCUAAGUUUAUUUUCCUCAUCCAAACGCACCGUUACAGAUAAAUAGCAAAUCAAUGGUCUCAUGUUCGAACCUUCGUGGCACCUUGAUAGUGUGUGUGAAAAACCUCACCCCUCUUGUAGUCGAGACUAUCACUUGUAUUCAAUAAUAAUAAUCCCAUAUGAAAAGGAGUUAAUUAUUUAAUAAAUGAAUCAUUUGGAUUAAUUUGGACAAUAUCUUAUUUGAACGAUUCUAUCAAAUUCCAAUCCAUUUUGUACAAAAUAAUAAGCUAAUCCAGCUCAACAUUCCAAUGGAAAAGGAAGAGAAUGGCUGGCUUUUUUUUUUUUUUGGGGGUUUGAGAAUGGCUGGCUUUAAUUUUAAGAGUAGCAUUGUGCAACCCAUAAAAAAGAAAGUCAAAGAAACAUAGCACAGGAAGAGGAGCCACAGCAAAUAAAAGGAUUGUGAUGUGACAACAAUUCAAGUAAUUUCCUUGGUGUUUAUAUUAUCGAUAUACAAAGAGUGUUCCAUUCUUAAGAAGCACAGCAGGUCAUAGUUAGCAUAACUUGUUCAUUUCAGCCUUUGAACUGCUAGCAUGGCUUGAGUUUCCUCAUUCCACAUGUGAAAAACCCCCACCUUCAGCCUUUGUCCUGCAAACAAGCACACAAUUGACAAACAACAAAACCACAUACAUCAGUUCUUUUCUCCACUGGUAAAUAGUCUCAAAUUCUUUCGACAAGACAUGAAACUCUACAUUUUUUUUACUGAUAAACCCACAAAAAGUAACCCACAUUUCUUUGAAAAAGACCAAAUUUUCCGUUCCUCAAGGAUAACGAAAGCUUACUUGUGAUCGGAAGGAUUUGGCCUGAGUUCAUAAACAAUUGUUGCAACAACAUCCCUCUUCAACUGUUCAUCAAAGAAAAGAAAAUGAUGUAUUAGUUAUUUGCACAAUUAACGCAACAGAAUAUGCUCAUAUGGAAUGAAAUUACCUGAGUAGCCUCGCCUUUAAAGCCAAUGUACUCUAUCUUAGUUGUAUCACCACCAAAACUAUCAGGAAAAUGCAAUGUGAUGCUGGCCACGUUUUGAAACUUGGAAUACCUAAUUAUACGGAGAAAUGUUACAUUAGAGGGAUAACAGAUGGUAAAAUAAAAAUCAAACAAAACAAAAAACAACAAAAGAACUCAUUUCAGUGGCAAUUCAAAGUAAUUUACCGUCACUGUUCAAUUUGAAAAAGAAUAAGGUUUCUUUCAUUGUGCUCAAGUUUUAUAGUUUUCAUGUUCUAGAAAAUUAAACAACAUGGUUUUUGAAGUAGUAGUACUCCAAAAGGCAGUGAAUAAAUACCUUGUCUGGUACUCCAACACUCCUUGAAAAUUUUCGACCAAAUCCCACUCCUUAAAACAAUAAGAACACAUGUUUCAAGGCUGAAACGUUGAAUUUUUUCAAUUAACUCUUGAACAAGCUAAUAUGAAAGCAAUACCUGAAUGGCUUGCAUUCCUUGAACAUCUGAAAAGUCAAUGCCAUCUCGGUUGAUGAACCUAAUUAAGCAAUGCAGUCAUGUUUUUAGUUUUUUCAAAUAUAAAAAAUGUGAUCGAUAUUGAACAUCUGUCAAAGACUGAUUUGAUAUUUAUUUUGUCAGAAUCAUAUAGAACAAGACUCGUGAUCAGUACUAUUAAAGUUUGAACUUACACCCUCAUCUUGCUAGGACUUGUUCCGUCAGCACCGCCAAUAAUUGAUAUGCUCUUGAUCUUGACAUCUGAUGUAAAUCUAUCACAAAUAAAUGAAAAAAAUAUAGCUCAAUCAGAAUGUAAAGAAACAACAUCAAAGAUGACUUCAUCUAAUAAGUUGGUGUCAGAAUGGUAUGCUUUAAGAAAACUUAUCAAGAUGCCGACCAAAUGUUUGAACAAUAAAUACAACUAUAUUAAGCAUCAGAUAUAGGAGAUGAGCACAAGACAAAAGGAUAAUUAUAAAUGACACACAAAUUAACAGUUGUGUUUUGCUUUAGGUGUACCUGGAGAUGCUACUAAGGUUGAAUCCCUUACUCAAAACUCAUACAAACCCAACUAUGGAGAUCUAACAAAAUCAGACACAUAUUAUCAUUGUAAUUGAAUGAAAAGAUGGAAAAAUGUGUAAAAGUACUCAACCAAUGGAUCUACCUGAUCCCAUGCAUUUCGUAAUUAUGCAGUCUAUAACUCAUUUCAUGAAGAUAUCACAUAAAACAACAAGACGGGACACUCACGGAAUGUAAACAAGUAACUCGGGAUCACCCUCAUUGCUCUCCAAGUGUUCCUGUUGCAGAAAGUAGAAUCAAAAUGAGGCUUCAUAUGCCUAGUAAUUGAACAUAAAUUACAACCAAAAUAUAAGGUAAACCUGAACUAAAUCUCAAUCAAUGAUUCCUACAAAUUUUCGUAAAUGUCAUUCUGAGCUUUCAAGUAGAUUAACUUAUGAAGUUUGGAUCAUUACUUUUAACAAGGACGUAUAGAGAAGUAAAUAGAUAGCUCAUUACCCCAGUAGAAUUCAGCCGUUGCUCCCAAGCUUUAAAAACCGACUUGACACUUCCUGGAACCGCCUCAUUCAAAGCCGAAACCUAAAAACAGAAUAAGACAUUCUCUCAAGGAGAACACGUCAUCAUGUCAAUCAGCAAGAGGAAGCUCCAACGAAAUAUUAAUUUACAAAAUAACAAAGUGUGAAAAUAUUGCAAAGUAUAAAUCACCCCACAUCAACAAUCAUCAAUUACCAGUCAUAUAGCCACCCACAACCAAACUGCCCAAACCACAACACACAAGCACCCGUCUCCCAAAAAAAAAAAAAAAAAAGUUUCUAAACAUUUCUGGAAACUAGCAAUAACAGCAUCUGCAUGGAGUAUCAUUAACAAAGCUUCAUAUCCAACUAUUUUCAUUUACAACCAAGAAGCCUACACAUAAGAACCAUUAUGCUUACGGAUAAAUGCUUAUGAGAUUCAGCAUUUGAGCUUGAGGGUUUAUGUUGAUCACUGUUCUUUCAACUAAUUUUCAUUUGGGCACUUCCAGAUAAAACCAAAACAAUCACAAAAUGGGAGCAGACUGAAACGUACCAGUAUACGCAGAGCAGCAGUGUGAUAGCUAACAACGAAAACAUAGGAAUAGAAAAAUUAAGACUGAGCAAAGAAAAAGGCAGAGAAAUAGGACCUUGGGGAGGUCUAUAUGCUUGUAGAGAGACCAAUCAGAAGAACAAUCAUGCUCUUCGCAGCUGUGGUCAUGUAAGCAAGCCAUCUCUCUCUUUCCCUGGAUCACCAAAUUUCUAAGAAGCAGCACAAAAAGGCGAAGAAGAAAUAGAAGCAACCAGAAAUAGGGAGCGAACCGUGGCUUUUUCUGUGCAUAGUGCCGAAAAGGCCCUUGUAUCGGUACAAUAAAACGCACCGUUUACCUGUACAUAUAUGUCCUUUUAGGCUUUUACUGUGAAAUGCAAACGAGACUGUUUUCGCAAAACUUUCUUCUUUGCUUUCAUUUGGGAAGUUCAGCUCUGAGCUCUGUGAGAGAUGGAGGAAAUAGUAGAAGGGGACGGGUCGGGUGCGGGCAGAUACACGCUGAGACCAACGAGGCUAAGCAACGAGGACAUUCUGUUCUGUAUAGAUGUUGACCCAGAGUCUAUGGUGGAGAUGAAAGCCGCGAUGGGCCCAAAUGGGCGACCUUUAACCCGCUUGGACUCGAUCAAGCAAGCCAUACUUGUCUUCAUCAACGCCAAGCUCACCAUCAACCCAGAGCACCGAUUCGCCUUUGCCUGUCUCGGAAAGUCCGCGUCUUGGGUAGGUUCUCUCUGUUCAUCUCUCUCUUUAUUGCUUGGUUUCUGUUCGGUUUCCGAGAAAAUUUGCGAUCAAGGGCAGAGGAUUUUAUGGUUAUUAUGUGUUUUUUAGGAAUUGAACUCCUGGAAACCAUGAUUAUGGCUUUGGGUCAUAGUUUUGAGGUUUUUUGUGAUAUAUACGGUUAUGGGUAGAUUAAAAUUUUCAUUUGCAGGAAAUGUAAGCAAUUGCGUGCCAUGAAUUUGGUUUCUGGAUGAAUCAAUGAAGGAAAAUUAGUUUAAAUCACUAUUUUCAAGUAGCCCAUUGUACAGAGUCUCACCAAGUCAAAAACGUUUUGAUAGCAUGAAAGAGUUUAGACAGAAGUGUGAAACCCACGAUACAAUAUGGGGUUGCUGUGCAUGUAUAUUUAUAAGAAGUACUACGUCGGUAAACAAGAUUUGGAUAUGAACACUACUACUGAGGAGGCUUAUCAGAGAAUACUAAUGAUGAACCCUUGAAAUAAAAUACAUGAUAAAUAUAAACAGAUAAACACGUGAGGAAACUAAGCAGGUAGCACUUCUAUCAGUUUUCCUUUGAUUAAGCUUUGGUCACUUUUAUUGAAUGCGGGUGAGAAAUCAAUUCCUUUACUAUCUGUUAAGGAGAUUUCGGAUCUUGAUCAUAGUUUCAAAGUGUACUUUCCAAGAAUCAUCCGCAUACCUUGAUCAUUUUUGGUCCUAGACUUAUUUUAUGGGGUGCAGUACCAAGAAUCGUUCACAUACCUUGCUGUAGGGUUGAGUUUUGAUGCAUGAUAUGCAUAAUUAUCAUGCAAAUACCCCAUUAGUAGUAAAUAUUUAUGCAGUGUAAGCAAACCUUCUGCAGGUCUUUGUUCAAAACACUCAAUUUAUCCUUUGUGUCUGUUUGUUUGAUUUAUGUUUCUGUAAUUGAUUUGGAACCUUUUGUUUUUCGUUUUUAUGAAGCUUCGGAAAGAGUUUAGCAGUGAAGUCGAUUCUGCUAUUGCUGCAUUUCGAGUACUCUCAGCUACUUCAUCUUCUAGUAAUGCAGAUCUUACCAGUCUAUUUCGAGUAGCAGCUCAUGAAGCAAAGAAAUCUCGUGCUCAAAACAGACUUUUAAGGGUGGUAAGCAAUGGUUGGCUUAACUUUUCAUGCAAUUACAUUGGUUAAUUAUUACAUCCGUGCCAUUGUGAUAUUCCAUCUUAUCCCUUCCAUGAUGUUGAAAUUUUUGUGUGUUGAUUGCUAAAGGCUGACAUGCUUGCCCUUAGAUUCUUAUUUACUGUAGAUCAUCUGUAAGACCAAAUCAUCAAUGGCCUGUGAACCAGAAACUCUUCACUCUGGAUGUAGUUUACCUUCACGACAAGCCUGGACCUGAAAACUGCCCUCAAGAGGUCUAUGAUUCACUUGUGGAUGCCCUGGAACUUGUUAGCGAAUAUGAGGGCUACAUCUUGGAGAGCGGUCAGGGAUUAACUCGAGUUCUCUUCCGUUACAUGUGCAUGCUGCUAUCACACCCUCAGCAGCGUUGCCCACAAGACCAUCUGGACAUACCUAAGCCUCUUGCGAAAAAGUUGCCGGCAGCAGAUUCAACGACUACUGAUGAUAGUAUUAUAACUGUGUCCGGCAUAUCAGAAGUUCAGAACAUUAGAAAUUAAUUUUACUGAGGUCAUUUUGCUUCUAAAAGUCUCAUAUGUAUGUAGUUUGUCUGAUGUUGAUGUAAACCUCUUGUUGAGUGAGAAUGAGUAGCCGAUUUGAUCUUGGUCCUAUCUGUCUGUACAAAUUGUGAAUGUUAUGAAUCCCAAUGUUUAUUUUAACCUAUCUGUCGAAGAAUUUUUUAUGACAUUCAAGAUCACGUAAAAUAUAGCAAAAGCAAGAAGUUCUUAGUACUAGUUUGUAUGUGUAUCCCCAUUAAUAUGAAGAGGGAGGUGGGAGCUGGCUUGCUACGCCGCGUCACACGGCACGCGGCAGCUAGGCAUAUUAGACGUCGAAGGAUUCUGGCAUUAAAUGUUAAGCAUUUAUAAACUUUGCCAAGGCUCAAAUUCUCCCAUAAGCAGCCUAAAAUGAGGAUGUUGUAAGUUGAAUUUUGCUACAUAGAACUACAUUCUCGGAAAACAGCUUAGUUGCCACUUUGCCAGUCACAUCACGAGACAUGUGUCGAAAUCUCCCCCGCUCGAAAAAAUAAAAAAUAAAUAAAACAAAAAAAAAAGGUAAGCCUUCCUCAAAGUCUAACGCUACUAGAUUGAAAGGUGAAAAAACUUGAUUGCAUAAGUAUACUACCCAUUGGUAUUGAUGAAAGACUUAUGAGGUUUGAAAUUAAAUCUUUCAAGUUCCCCGCAGAACCCUGCCUUGCCCUUUGGAGUGAGGCUAAGGUUUUCUUCUCUUAUUAAAAAAACCAAUCGACUAUUAUUUGCAUUCCCACAAAACCGUAUGACUCAUUGCUUCCAAUGGUGAGGUCAACAUAUUGGUAAUCAGAAAGAAAAAAAAAAUGCAGAGCUCGAAAAGUUGAAAUGAUAACCAAAAUCCCUCAUCCAUAUAAUUUUUUUUAAGUAGAAGUCAACUUGGAGGGAUGAUCUUAAUCACACAAAUUGUCUGUGACAUCUCUAGAAUUAGUUUUAGUAAUGAAAUAAAUCGUUUAACUCUUUCGCUCAAGAAAUCUGCCGGCAUGACGUGUCGCUUGUGCGUUCCUUGUCCACUUGUGCAUGCUUAUAUAUUGCUUGCACGAGUACAAAGAAAAACUCCAGUUUGAAAAACUUUUUAUACUAAAAAUAAACCCUAAGCAUUAUUAAAUUUGUAUUGUUUUUAAAGUUUGACCAACUGUUUUGAUCUUUUUUUCAUGAACUUGUCCAAGCCGUUCUGGCGCUCUUUAACUAUUAUUAGUCUUAAUAAUCUAUUUCUAAUUGUCAUGAGUCAUGACCAAUCUCCCUUCUCUGUAAAGUGCAUCAAGUUGGUCAUGUCAACUCAUUCUUUUCUUUUUACAAGUGAUGGUGGGGAUAACUAGGUUAACACUUAAAAUUGCUUCCAUCUUCACCUACUUGAAUGACAGAAGAACAUGGGCUCGUGCCUUGUGGGUCACUUAUCUUAUCUUAUUUAACUUUUUUUUAUUGCUUUUAGGUGAAUCGACUGCACAAUCUUAAAUGCAUGAAUGAAUGCUUUAAACUAUUUAAAUUACGAGCUCUUUAUUGUGUUCCUUAGACAGAAGUUAAAACCAUCAUGAUUUGCUGGUUUUGAGUUGGUUAAUUAGUGUUUACAUGGUGUGAAUGUAAAAGUAAAUGGUAAAUGGCUUACAUAGCAAGUUAGUUAUAUAUAAGUUAAAGAAGACACCUCUCAAGUGGUAUGCGAAUCUUGGGGUGGCAUAAAAUAAUUGAGAAUUUAUUUAAAUAUAGUCAAAUUAUUGAAGCUCCUUCAGCUCUCUGUGGAGCCACUUUAAUUUGCUCCAAUAGAUGAUCAUUUUGCUAACAUGUGCCCUUUAUAUUCAUGAUUAAAGAGAAGAGGACUUCAAAUGAACUUUGGACUAUAGGAGAUAGAUAGGAGGAGGAGGAGGAGGAGGAGAUAAAGGAAAAAUCCAUUUCCAGUUUUAAUGGGACUCUGCAUAUCUUCUUCAGCUCACAAAAUUCAGGAUGGCCAUGAAGCUCCAAUGUCCUUUGAAAGGACUGACGAUUCUAAUGGAAUUCAGAUGCACGGUUCCCUUUAUUCUUUGGAAGGAAGCAAAGGAGUAAACCAAGAUAGUGCCAUUCUUUACCAGGUUUGUGAAUAUUUCUUUCCCCUUUAUUAUAUGGAAGGAAGCAAAGGAAUUGUUCUGUGUGUUUCUCUAGCUGCUCAUUUCAAAACCAUAUUGUUUGUUUUUCGCUUUGUCUAUACAUAAAUAUAUAGAAUGGCAAGGCUUGUUUUCUUAGAAAAUCAUCAGCAAUUUCGUUUCAAAAGCAUUCAUGCAAAGCAUGUUGCAUAAUCGGGUUUCAUAUUAUUUUACUAGGCUUCUGAAAGUCUGUUGAUUAUAGCUUUAACCUCUUCUUAUUUUUCUUGUCUUUUCAAUAGGGCUAUGGAUUGGAAGCUGAAGCUUUCUGUGGAGUUUUCGAUGGACAUGGAAGAUUCGGGCACCGAGUGAGUCAGCUGGUGAGAAGCAACCUGCCAUCACUCUUACAAGGCCAGAUGAAAGCUCUUGAUCAACAAGCCAUUGCAGUAGCAGAGGAUGAUGAUUCGAAAAAUCACAUUGACAGAAUAGAAACCGAGUCAGAAGAUUCAGAACCAAGCAAGAAAUUUCACAAAUGGAAAGAAGCCUUUGUUAGCUCCUUCAAAGUCAUGGACAAGGAGAUUAAGCUUCAAGAAAAUCUGGACAGCUCUUGUAGUGGAACCACUGCUGUUGUUGUCAUAAAACAGGUGAGAAAAACUACACAUGAUCAUUGAACAAAUUAUUUAUCUUUCUUUAUUUCUUUGUGUUCGGCUUUAAUUCAAGAAUCAAACAGGGUGAGGAUCUUUUUAUAGCUAAUCUGGGUGACUCAAGGGCAGUCCUAGGAACCACUAGAGAGAAUGGAAUUGAGGCCAUUCAAUUGACCACUGAUCUAAAGCCUGCUUUACCUAGUAAGAAGUUCAUCAUUUUUUUCCAUUUUUUUCCUCUUGUUUAAUUUGAAGUGAUUAUCUGACAGGUGAUCGUUUUUAAUGCAGGUGAAGCAGAACGAAUAAGGGCGUGUGAUGGUCGAGUGGUUGCACUAAAGCAAGAACCUAACAUCCAAAGAGUGUGGUUGCCUCAUAUUGACCUCCCAGGCCUAGCCAUGUCCUGAGCUUUCGGAGACUUCAUACUCAAGGACCAUGGCAUCAUUGCCACCCCUGACGUCUCCUAUCGCCGCCUGACUUCCAAAGAUCGAUUUGUCGUUCUUGCAACGGAUGGGGUAAGCCCUAUUGGAAAUGAAAUGUGUACUUGUUAAGAGUUUUAGCGUUGCCAAAGAAAAAAGGGCACAGUUGCUUUCCUAUGAAUGGCAUUUUAACCACAAUGAUGCGUUUUGUUCUUGGGCUUGGUAUUUAGGUUUGGGAUGUGCUCAGCAACCUUGAAGUUGCAUCCAUUGUGUGGGAAGCUGAUAGUGCACAAGCAGCGGCAAAGGCGGUGACGGAGACUGCGGUGGCCACAUGGAGAAGGAAGUUCCCUUCUGCUAAGAUAGAUGACUGCACUGUGGUUUGCUUGUUUUUGCAAGACAAACUACAUGAUCAUGUUGUGCCUGUAAAGAUAUGAGCUUUUGAGCAAUGCUUGUUGCUUUGUGAUCUUUUUUUAUCUUCAUACAUUUUAACACGACACUAUACUUUUUCAAUUUCUGAUAAGCUAUACUUUUUCAAUUUCUGAUAAGCUACCCGUCCAAUUAUGUACAUAAGCCCACAGGUUCCAUUUUUGGUUAAGACAACAGUUGCUUUCAAGAAUAAAUUUUUGGUCAAAUCAUCCGCCAGUAAAUGAAAUCUUUCAAAACCAAACAGAACCAUUGGCAACCUUCAAAAUGCUCAGUAAAUUUUCAAAAUGUCCACGAAUAAACAAUGAUGUUUUGAUUUGUUUUCUCCAGGCAAUUCUAGAAAGACAUCACAGGGCUAGAAAUUCAUGAACAUAAAUAUAAUAAGACUUGACAUAGUGGCAAAAGGCAUUCUUGAAAUUUCAUUGAAAUGCUUUUAAUCACAAUAGGAUAAGGCCGAUAAACUUCAGUUAAACUCUUUAAUAGGGGAAAAGAAUUAUGUUGCCUCCAGGCAAACGAAACAAAAGAGAACUUUCUGCAUAUAAAAACCCCAUUUGUGAGUAAACUCAAUGCCUACCAUCUGGAUGAAAAAAUAGAAACAGAAGAUCCCGGGCGAAUAUAAAUCCAUUUCCUCUAAUAUUCAAGUGCAUCAUCUUUGGGCGCCUCUCCAAGCAGGUCAUCAUCAUAUGAAACAGGUACCCUUAACCUAUCAUGAACAGAAAGUUGUUUCCCUUCAGUAUUUGACUGAAUGCCUUGAGUUUGCAUUUGACAAAUAACCGGUACGGCAUCUGAAAUAUUAGCUGGAGUAUCAUCCUUGAAUGAAUUCACAAUUGCUUUAGAUGAACCUUCUUUCCCUUGCUGUAUUGGUUGUCUAUUAUUUGUUGACCUGAAUUGCUUCUGCAUGGAGAUAGAAAACAUAAAAAGUAAUCAACGAUGCUGUAGUUUUACACUUUUUCUAAUAAAAGUGAUAUUUAAUUGACGUUUGGGAAAUAACAUCAGAAACAACACUAUGAAUCUAUGAUCCACUACUGCGCACCUCAAAUUCCCUUCCUUUUUUCAUUAUCUCUUUGUAGGCCUUUGGUUCUCGUGCUUUGAUGAUACUCCAUAGUACUCCACCACCAAAUCGGAAACGUUUGCCAUCAUGAGUCAUCUGACCUCCACAAGCCUGGAUCGCAUCCACCUGAAAUUUUUCAUCAUUUCACAAAUGAUAUCCUAGAUACACCAUGGUUUCUAGCAGGGAAAAAGUAUCCAUUCUCCUGAUACUGGAUUCCAUCCGGACUACAAAUAACUAAUAUACGAGAAACAUAGAAACACUUGUAACAACCACAUUUAAUAAAAUUCAGAAAUUACUUAACUAAGGAUAUCGUUCCCUACAAUCAAAGUAAGCUCAAAGAUGUUCAUAAUCACAAAAGUUUCUGUAAACCAUCUCCGGAUAGAGCUUAUGGUUCCUGGGGGAGGAGCAAACAUGAAUGAUGAGCUUUUUGGAGCAAAAAUAGAUGUGUAUUGCUUUGUUACGCGUAUCUAUUAGAGUACUCUUACAUGUGUUUUGCAUGCAUAUUGGCUAAUGCAACUCCAAGAAAAAAUGAUAUCAACCUACACAAAUAGCAUAUGAUGAAGUGGUUCAUCCAGGGGACAUCACAGCUCAGAGCACAAGAUUGAAAGGAGUAAAAUGGCUUCUGCAAGAGAAAUCUGCAAGGGUAGGGAAACAAUAUUGAGGAUCAGAAAUUAUGCAAGGCUGCGUGGCCAAAUAGUGUGCAUAAGCAUCGGCAGCUCUAAGCUGGUCCAAAAUUAAGCAACCCAGAAUCUCACCUUCCCUUGCAAAAGGCCAGUCGAAUCAUUCAAGUCCACUCUCAACAAAGGAUACCCUGCCUUCCCCUUGAAGCUAUAAUGUGAAGGGAACUUAAAAAGGGACAGAUGGCUCAGAAGGUAAAGACAACCUUAAAAGUACCCCAUAAAGCAUAACCAUCCUCCCAAUAACAGGACCCCCAAUUAGCAAAAAAACCAGCGUGUUCAAGAAUCUAUAGAACAGAAUUGGCACAGACAAUAUGAUAGGUGAUUUUUAAUUGACAUCACUGAAACCCAGCUCUGAGUGCAAAUCCCAUGUUCUGAACAUGAGCAGCAAGGUCGGAUCAUCUUAAAGCUAGAUGUGAAGCGGAGUCAAGGCAACCUUAAGAAGUACCCAUAAAGCACGCCCAGACACAACCCAUUCACCCAAUAACAGGAUUACCAUUAGCAGAAAGACCAAGAGUGCUCAAGCAGGUACAUAAUAGAAUUACUUUGAACAAUAUAAUAGAUGAUUUCAAUUGAGAAUAUCACUGAAAACUCCACUGAAAGGUAUUGGGCACAAAGCACAUGUUCUUAAACUGACAGCAAGGUCGGAUCAUCUAAAAAUGCACAUUAAUGCAGAUAAACAUGUACCAAAUUUACAACCAGUUGCUAAUGGCGUCUGUCAAGGAGAUUUUCAGAAGACAAUUACAAAACAUAAUGCAAUGCACACGUAGUUGCGUAUAAAAGAUAAAGAAAACAAUCCCCAAGUUAUAUAAUUUGCUUUGUCACAGCAUUUCCACAAAAGCACACAACGAAGGGCAGCAUACCUCUUUGACGAGAUCAUUCAAUGCAAGAACACCCAGACAACCAACAGCAGUAUAUACCAGAUAUGAUUUCUUCUCUUUCAGUCGCCUACAUGUAUCCAUCACAAACCUGAAAAAGACAUAACAUUAAAAGAAUGUAAAAACCCACAAGAGAGCUCCAAAUUCCUUUUGAAUAUAUGUAAUUUCUUUCGUUCUUAAUCGGGCAGGGCAUAACCUGUCUAUGUCAGUGACAUUAAUUCCAGGGCCACUGUUCCUUCUCCUAUUCCUCUUCUUCUUACCCCUGCGCUUCUGAUUCUUGCCCUGACGUUCUUGGUUUGCUACACUGACAUUGCCACCACUGAUCUGUCCCGAACCAUUUUGUGAGUUAAAAUCCACAAGCUCCCCUUCUUCCACAAGCUCUCCUUCUUCCACAUCAAGCAUCUCAACAUCUUCGCCAUCUUCAAAGUUAUCGUCUUCAAAUACUGCGUCUAGUAUGUUGUGUUCUCCUUCCAUAUAAGGUUUUCUUCAAUGGGGGGAAAAAACGCACCACAAAAUUUAUAAGCACCUACAGAGCAGAAAGCAGGAAGAAAACACGCAGAUUUCCACAGACGAGACAAAAACUGCAAACUCGUGCAAAUUUUCUCUAUGGCAAAUCACCAAACAGAUUAUGCGAGCCCUAACCAGAAAAAAUCACAAGUACAACGAAAACAAAAAAAAAAACGUAAAUAAAUAUUUUUUUUAAAAACCGAUGUACGAACCCUAACAAUGCAAAAACAAACACAGCAAUUCAAAGCUUAUGGAAUUUUCCAAUUAGAGUGCUCUGCUUAAGGACGAUGAAGCAUAACCGCGGCUUUUGGCGUUUGGUUGAUCAGAGGACUGCGUUUCGCUGGUAUGGUCUUUAUAGUGAAGCCUAGAUGAGCGCUGGCGGUAAUCAGUAAUGGCUUGUUUGGCUGCGUGGCAAACGAUGAUAUUAAUCCGGAUUGGGUUAUAGGUGGAAAGGCCCAACCCAAGGACGCUUUGCUUAUCUGUACUGAGCGAGCCCAAAAUGGCUGAAACUUAGUCCAUCCCCAAUCUAUUAGUGAUAUUUUAUGAUUUGUUUUUGUUGAAUACGUAAUUGUUAGUAGGUUAUCUGUCGACGUUUGAUUUCUUUUCAAUAGUGGGCCAUACGUCAUUGGCCAAUCCGUACGAGUCCACAACAAAACUGAGUUGAUGUGGAUUGUUGAGUGUGAAAUUUUGAGGAGUAAGUUUUGGGUGAAAAGCUCGGACCACGUAAUCUAUCUGUCCAACUGUUUUCAUAAGAGGGUAUAAAUUUUAUUGAGCGCCUGUCGGACGGAUGACAUGGUUUUAGAGCAAAGCCAAGCCCAACCUCAUAUUCAGACACCAUUGAUUGGAACGGGUAUGAAGUGGAAAUACAGGCCUUCCUUUAUCUUGUUCAGCAAGCAAUGGUGCAUUUUUGUCCUGUAAUUCAUAAAUCUAAUAGAUGCCCUUUGUCUGCAUCAUCACUUUUGUUGUAUUCUUUAAAUUAUACCUACCUUGUUUUCUACCUAUUCAAACGAGGGGAAGGUGGGCAUGAUUGGUACCAAAGUUUCAACCUAACGUUCUUCAACAUCUAGUAGCUUUUAUAUUAUAAAGUUAAAAGAAGAAAAAUACAAAAAGAAAACUCAUUAGAGCUUCCAGCUCUUGUUUUGAAUGAUGAUAGAUUAAGUCUGAUGUUGGGUUGAAAUAUUCUUUAUUAUGGCUAACUUAGCAUUGAUGUGCUAUGAAAAUAUACGCUGUUAGAUUUAUUGUGAGAAAAAUCAACAGUGAGAUAAAACAAUUUGGUGUUUGAUAAAAAAACAAAAGGGUCCCCACUUGCUCUAACAACAAAAAAACUAAAAAUCUUGCAAGUUAACUAAAGAAACUGUAUUCUUUAAUAAAUGAAAUUUCCCGUUAUUAUCUAUAUAUAUAAAGCAAAAGGCAGAGAAUGGUGAAACAUUCAAAAUACCAGAAAAUACCCUUGGUUAAUGCAAAUAUUAAGAAUUGAAAUUAUUAAUUAAAUGAGGAUAAUAUGGUAAAUUCACAAUUUUUCGUAUUAAAAAAAUUAAAAUUAAAAGAAAAUUCAGAUAAUGGAUCCUAUUUUUAUGGAACACAAAUAUCCAUUAUCUUUUUUAAUUCUAAAAUAAAUUUAAAUUUUUUUAAAAAAAAACCUCUCGCAUGCGCAGAAGCGCGUGCAGAGAGGCUAGUAUAUAUAAAGCAAAAGGCAGAGAAUGGUGAAACAUUUAAAAUACCAGAAAAUGCCAUUGGUUAAUGCAAACAUUAAGAAUUGAAAUUAUUAAUUAAAUGAGGAUAAUAUGGUAAAUUCAUAAUUUUUCGUAUUAAAAAAAUUAAAAUUAAAAGAAAAUUCAGAUAAUGGAUCCUAUUUUUAUGGAACACAAAUAUCCAUUAUCUUUUUUAAUUCUAAAAUAAAUUUAAAUUUUUUAUAAAAAAAACCUCUCGCAUGCGCGGAAGCGCGUGCAGAGAGGCUAGUACGAAUUACGGGUGAAAAAACCAGUGGAAUUAUACGGCGCCAACACUGUAAUUCCCGCAAUAAUACGGUGCCGACGUGUACGCUCCAGAUUGCACCCCUUUCCAAUUAAAGAGUGAGCUCACUGGGGCCCGCAAUCAAUCAUCCAAGUCGCAUUGAAAAAGAGAACCCACGUGGUCACCAAUAAAUAUCAACUCCUCCUCCGACCUUCGAUCUUUGUGUUAUAUGUCAGCUCCACCAAUCAGAUAUCCUCAUACCAAUUUGACCGGAAACCGCCAUGACUCGGUUGGCUAGCGCCGUCGUCCUGUUGUUCCUUGUCUCCCUCUCCAGUUUCGCUGCCGGUAGCCGGGACCUGAUCGGAGACGUUUUACGGUUACCUUCUGAAGCUUCUAGAUUCUUCGGCAGAGGCGAUGACGGCCCUGAUGAGCAAGACGACGGCACCGUGGGGACCAGAUGGGCUGUUUUGAUCGCUGGCUCAAAUGGAUACUGGAAUUACAGGCAUCAGGUCUUAAUUUUACACGAUAUCAUCUUUCUUAAUUCAGAAAUAUUCUUUUUUGUUAUCAAACUUCAGUUGUUAAUGGAAUUUGAGUUAUAAUUUUGGAUGUUAAUUUCAAUUUUUUUUCCCUUCAUGUUUUUUGAAUUGUUUGAUAUCUGAAUUUGGGUAACCUCAUAUUGGAAAGUUUAUGCUUGUAUAAUCUCGUUUAAAUUUGACUUUCAGCUUAUCCAAUUUCUGAUUCUUUUACCUUGUUGCUUUCGAAUUUGUCAAACUAAAUUUUGGAAGCUUAGAGUUUGUUUUGGAACUAAUAUGAAUUUAGCUCAAGCUUGUGUCUUUCUUAUCUUCCUUGAUCUCAUCUCAUUUUGACUAAGACAGAGUUUUAAAUUUACAUGUGGCUUGAGUUUGUUUUGGAACUCAUAUGCAUUUAGUUCAAGUUCGUUUUAUUAAUUAUUAUAUUCCUUGAUCUCAUCUCAGUUUGAAACUUUGACAUGGAGUACAUGAUCUCAACGUUAACCAUAUUUGUAUAGGAGCUGGAUUUCUGUGUCAGGGGUGAAAUUGAUACUUUUGUUGUGUCUAUAUCUUCAUAUGAAUGUCAAUAAAUAUCUUAUUGGUUUCACAUAUUUGAAAGCUAAGCCACCCUCAUUUCUUGAUUGAUGUUUAACACGGACCUUUUUAUCUUGUUUGUUUAGGCUGAUAUUUGCCAUGCUUAUCAACUACUGAAGAAAGGUGGGCUGAAAGAUGAAAACAUUGUUGUAUUCAUGUAUGAUGAUAUCGCUUAUAACGAAGAGAACCCUAGGCCCGGAGUCAUCAUUAACAGCCCACAUGGUGAUGACGUUUACAAAGGAGUCCCAAAGGUCUGUUAUCUUCCCCUCUAGGUGUUUACCUGCUUCUGAAUUGAUAGUUAUAAUUCCCCUCAUGCGGUCGAUUUUACGGUGGCAGGAUUACACCGGCGAUGAUGUUACUGUUAACAAUUUUUUUGCUGCUAUCCUUGGAAAUAAAACUGCUCUUACAGGGGGUACUGGGAAGGUUGUGGACAGCGGUCCAAACGAUCAUAUUUUCAUUUACUAUUCUGAUCAUGGUGGUCCUGGAGUUCUCGGUUAGUAUCAAUUCUGCACAUGACAAUACUGACAUUAUUUUGCCCACAUCCCCAUAUCUUAUCUACUUACUCUUUCCCUAGGGAUGCCUACCAGUCCAUAUAUUUAUGCUAACGAUCUAAUAGAAGUCCUGAAGAAGAAGCACGCAGCAGGAACCUAUAAAAGCUUGGUAAGUUUCUAGUUGAACUGUAAAUAGAUGCUGCAUAUACCAAUAGAGUUGGACUAAUUCGUAGAACUGCAGGUAUUUUAUCUUGAAGCUUGUGAAUCCGGAAGUAUCUUUGAGGGACUUCUUCCUGAAGGUUUGAAUAUCUUUGCAACUACGGCAUCAAAUGCAGAAGAGAGCAGUUGGGGGACUUACUGUCCAGGAGAGUAUCCUAGUCCUCCCCCGGAGUAUGAAACCUGCUUGGGUGACCUGUAUAGCGUUGCUUGGAUGGAAGACAGGUAUGCAGAAUUAUUUUAUUUUGUUAAAUUUUCAAUAAAGGGGUGGGAAGAAAAGCAGCUUAAUGUUAGCUUCAUUUUGCAUACCCUUGGUAAAUAAUAACAAUUUCAUCUUUCCCUAAAAGUGCAUUACUUCUUGAGUAUUGUCACUUUAAGAUUUGCCUCAAAAUAUGAAGAAUAUAUGAAUUAGGUAGAAGUUUGAAACUGUAUCAUUUCAUGCCAGUUGUUUUUUCUUCUUUAAUUCUUGCACUGGUGGUGUGGGUGUUUGGAUUGUCUUUGCAAGAGCAGUUUCUUUCUCAGGUUGGAGAAUGAAACUGUUCAAAUUAUAAUUUUCAUUUGAGAUUUAACAUUUUGACCUUGUGAACAGUGACAUACACAACUUGAGGUCGGAAACUUUGCACCAACAGUAUGAGCUGGUAAGAAUUCGUCUCUUAACACAUUGUUAUGGAACAGAUAGAGAUUUUUUUUUCUUCUUUUGUACAGGAAAGACCAGCUGUUUAUUAUUGUAUGUUUAAAUAAAAGAGAUUGUCUGUAUUUAGAGAAGUCUUGGGGGUCUAGCCAAGAAAUAUCUAGAUGUGAUCCUGCUAGUUGCUAAUGUCAGUUCUUUGAUUUCAUUAUGAUGGCCCAGGUUAAAACGAGGACAGCAAAUGACAAUUCUGGCUUUGGUUCUCAUGUCAUGCAAUAUGGCGAUGUAGGGCUCAGCAAGGAAAACCUCUUUGUGUAUAUGGGGACAAAUCCUGCAAAUGAUAACUACACUUUUCUGGGCGAGAACUCCUUGAGGCCAUCUACAAAAGCUGUCAACCAGCGGGAUGCUGAUCUUGUCCAUUUCUGGCAUAAGGUUAACUCUUACCUUUUUCAUCCGUGAAUAGUUAUUUUGCCUUUUCUUUUAAAUAUCUAGUCUUAAAAUUUAUGUACUAGUCAUCAUCGGUACUUAUAUUUGGAAGUAUUUCAUACUGUUAGAUAUUAUGAUUGAUUUGAUUAAAAGUCAGGAGAGAUCAGUAAUGAUGAUUGGGGAAUACUCCAUGUUUUCAUUGUUUAAACGGUAACAUAUCAUAAGUACCAUGGAGGUUUUGGAACCAUGCCAUUUGCCCUGCUCUCCUGUGAAGCUCCAAACAAAGCAGUAGAAUAUCUCUGCUUGGAACAAGAAUUUUGAAUACCAAAAAGGGAAUGAAACCAAGGUUUUGAUUAAAUAAAAGCCUUAAUUGUUAUGAAAAUCUAAGGUUCUACUUCUGAAUAUUCUGUGGUUUUGUAACUAUUUCUGUGUGUUAGCUGUCAGCCUGAAGAUCUAAGCCCCUUGUUUUCCCUUCUUUUCUUUUUCUGGAUGCAGUACCGCAAAGCUCCUGAAGGCUCACCAAGGAAAAUUCAAGCUCAAAAGGAUUUUGUUGAAGCAAUGUCUCAUAGAAUGCAUAUGGAUCAAACCAUGAAACUUAUCGGGAAACUCCUGUUUGGAAUCAAGAAAGGUCCAGAAGUGCUCAACACUGUUCGACCUGCUGGGCAGCCACUUGUUGAUGACUGGGACUGCCUUAAGACAAUGGUAGUACUUCUGCUGUUCAUUUUCUCCUUAAUGCUGUUAAAACUUUUCUGAUUCCAUCUUGUUCUGCAUAUAAAACAGAUUUUCACAAAUAAUAUAUGUGGCUGUGCCUGAUGGGUUUGUGUGUGCAGGUGAGGAGUUUUGAGACAUAUUGUGGAUCCCUAUCUCAAUACGGGAUGAAACACAUGCGGUCCCUGGCAAACAUCUGCAACGCCGGAAUGACAAAGGAGCAGAUGACCGAGGCUUCAGCACAAGCCUGCACGAGCGUUCCUUCUAGCCGUUGGAGCUCCCUGCACCGGGGGUUCAGCGCAUGAUUUCAAGAAGAAGAAAAAAUGUGGGAUUUGAAUAACCAAUCCGUGGUCAUCUCUAUAUGCAAAACAUAUCUUAGGAUGCAUUUCGAUUAUUGUUAAUGUUAUUCUGAUUGCUUCAGUGUAACCUUGUGUAAAUACAACUCAAGCCCCUGUACUGUAAUGCACGUACCUACUGAAUCUUGUAAGUAAAUAUUAGCAUGUUUGUUGCGUAUGAAUACGUACCUGUUUGCUGCAGCUGGUGUACGCAUCAGGCUCUGGUUAUAAAAAAGUUUGCAAUUACGAUAUGCCUUUGUUUUAUGUUCACUUUGGUUGCUUCAUUAAGGAAGUGAGUGGCUUGUCUCCAUCUCCUUCACCACCACCACUAACAGAACAUAAUUAUCGCGUAACACUUUCAACUUUAUGUCUAUUUGAGUUAUUAUUUACAAUUACAAUUUUUUUAUAUUAAAAUUUAUCAAAUAAUUUUGACAAUGCUUUUUGUACUAGCACUUCAAAAGAAUUAUUUAUUAAACAUGAAGUUGCUUUACUUUACAAUUAAUUAUUUUUAAAGCACAAUAAAAUUAAAUUUUUUAAAAAAGUCACAUCAAUCUCAAAUUCCCCUUCUUUCUUGUCCGUCUCCAAAUGGUAAACUGGUAAUCUAGCUUUUGACCCCCAAAAAAAUGGAAAUCUAGUGGGCCUUUCAUAAGAUAAUGUCAUUAUCAUUGUGUGAGUAUAUUCCGUGUAAUUGAGUAAUGAAAGAUAUCGAUCGCGUUGGGAAUUGGGGAAAGUUAGAAAUAUUUAAGAGACGGAUUUACUCCCUCAAUUAAUGUAAUUUAUGGGUUUUCAAGAAUUAAAUGACGGAUUUUAAUGUGGAACACACAUAAAUUUGUAUACCUGAUGUAAAUUUAAGAGUUGGAAUAAUUUUAAUAUCCAUUAUAGGCAAAUGAACAUGCCAUGCUAUAGGUGUGUGCCCAAUUUCAUUGUGGAGAACGUAGCCGUAGGAGAGCAUGCGUCCAACCCCAAAUUCCCUUUCUUCCUCACCUUGCUCCAACCUGUAGCUGCCAAAAUGUAGGUAAGCAACAGCCUACAUUACGGGUCCAAUAAUGUACAAUUUUGGCAAAGUCCAAUUACUUUAAUGAUGGAAUGAUUGUAUAGUUAAAUCUUACUUAAUAAGAUAAGAGUGAGAGUCAAAUUUAUACGGUGCAUAUUUAUUUCAUGUGUCAAUGCCAAUUAUAUUACAUAUUUUAAUUGAAUAAUACGGACCAUUUAACUUGACACAUGCAAAAUUAUAGAUGAGCUUGUAAUUGUAACAUUAAGAUUCACACAAAAAACGAAACUCACAAUAUUUAGCUGAAUGGAAAAUGUUUUCAAGAUGCAUCUAUCAUAAGUUCUAGCUGUGAACAUUAUUAUAUGGCAGUGUCCCAUCCCAUGGUCUCCCCAAGACUCACAACCCAACAUUUUCUUUUUCUUUUUCUUUUUCUUUUAUUUUUUUAUUUUUAUAAAACGCAACCCAACUUUAAAAAUAUGAUCCAUAAUUGCAUAUUGUCAAACCAACAGUGAAAAAAAAAAAAAAAAAAAGGGAAGCAGGAACCGACGCUCUAGAUUCAACAAUUUUAUUUGGUCAACACACAAAUAUUUAAGCUUGGCUUAUAUACGGUCUAUAAUCGGCCACAGGAACCGGACAUCAAGGACAAUUGUCUGAUAACGUGAAAUCCACGACUCUGGUUAAACUUACCAUGGUUAGUUCACUAUAACCAUACUACAACGAACCGGUUCACCAGAAAAAUAAAAUUAAAAAAUUAAAAAAUUAAAAAAAGGUAAAGGAUGAAUAAAAAAAUAAUUGGGUAAUGCAAAUUAUUGCCACUUAACGGAGUAGUAGAUUCUGUUAGAUUCAUUUGACGAGGCGAAGAGGGGGCGCAUAGUAAGAACGUUGUAACGAGGUUUAAAAGAGACGGAGCUGACGGUUUAAGAUAGGGAGACGCGGGAGCCGUUGGAUUGUUGAUCAAGGGCCGAUAAUGCAAGGCGUUGGACGGUUCAAGUGUGACGGAGAGUGGGAGGGGUCGUAUAAAGCCUGGGUUUUGAAAGGUGAGAGUGCAUUUCGUUCCAUCAAAACAAGAAGAAGAAAGAGGAAGAAGAAGGAGAAAGAGCCUCUCUGACGUUUUGGCCUUCGGUUUUUCUUCUGCUUUAGAAUUUAAAGAGGAAUUCGGGAGAGAAUUCGUAGAGCUGGACUGUGUGUAAUGUUAAGGAUCUAAUUACGAAGCUUUUCUGUGAGCCUGUUGUGUGUUCGCGGGAGAGAGAAGGAGAGAAGAGCUUGCAGAGGUUGGUGAUGGAGAAAACAGAGCUCGAUUUUGGUAGUUUUAAUGUAAUCUGAUUUCUUAGAAUGACCGGGUUAUUUUGUGCAAUUUCUGUUUUGCAGAUACAUUCAGAAGAGCUUUUGGAGGAAUUUGAAGUGAAAUCGAUUGCGAUUUGCUGGGAUAAUUUCCAAGGUGGACCUCAUUUCAUUGAAAUUUACAGAGAAAAGGUCGAGAAAUCUAGUUUAGAGGUGAGGGGAGUUGGAUUUGCUUAAUUUCCUAAACGAUUUCACUCCCUUAUUCUAACUCAUCGUUCGUUUGAUUUUGGUUUCACAGGUACAUUUCCCGGAGAUUUGACCCCUUUUUUUUGAAGAAAUCUCAACUGGGGUAUGAGAUAAAGAAGAACAAGCAUCUCUCAUUCAUGAGUGUCAGGGACAUAGGCUCUAAGUUUCAAUCAUUUCGUUGAUUUUCGGCUCUAGAUUUGCAUUUUGCAAAGUCAGAAGGCCUAGAAGAGCAAGAUUACCCAAAAGAAGCAAACUUUCUUUUGCAAAUUCAGGAUUGUAGCUGCUUGCGAAAUCUCAGUAUAACAGGUGAGGAUUCAUUUUCCGAAUCCUAGAUCAGUGAAACCAAGUCUCGGGCUUAGGAUUUCACUGGCUGAUUUGAUUUCCUUCCAUUUUCGGUUCUUCGAAUUUUGAUAUCUUUCUACUCAAUUUGGUUUCUUCAAGGAGGCUCUCACUUUUCUCUUCUUUUUCCUCAUCUGCAGCAGAGUCCAAGCAAUUGGUUUCUCUGUUUUUUGAUUUUCGAUGUUCAAAAGCAGAUAACUUUGCAACAGAAUUUUAAGCUUUUCAAAUGAAGCCAGCCGAGUUCCUUGACUCUCUCUCUCUCUCUCUCUCUCUCUCUCUCUCUCUCUCUCUCUCGCUCGCUGGGUCUUACAUUUGGAUCCAUCAUCUUUGUCCAUCAUCUUCUUUCAAUUUUCUGUCAUCUGCCUUCUGUGCAAGAAUUUUCAAUUUCAAAAAACUAAUUGACCUUUAUAUUUGGGAAGAUUAUCUCUUCUUCUUCGUCUUCUUCUUCUUCCUCUCCUCCUCCUCCCCAUUUUAAAGGCUUUUAAUAUAUUUUUCUGAAUGAUUUCCGUCUGUAUUAUCAGCAUUGAAAAGAAAAGACCUUCUCUAUGAAAUUUUACCCGCUGUUUUGUGAAAAAUCUAUCUAUCUUUGGUGUUCUUUGCUGGCAGUCCGAAGUUUGUGUCUUUUCCGAAAUUCAAACACCAGCAGAGUGCAAAAUCUUCUGUUUGGUUCUCGGGAAACUGAUACAAGAAAAAACUGAGCUAACAGACGUAAUUGCUCAACUUAUUUAAUCGCAAUUCGUUGGAAGCGUCUGAUAAAAAAAAUAUAUAUAUAUAUCAAAGAUACAAUUUUCAUUCUUUGUCCUUUCCCUGCCUUUUUUUUUUUUCGAUCUUCAUCUUCUCCGUCUGUUUGGGUAGGCCCUGCUUUUCAUUUGAAUUUUAUUUUUAGGCACUCGCAGUUGCAGAGAGCCAGCCACAAUCCAAUUCCAGAUUCUCAGUUUUUGCCAUUUCCGUCCCUAACUUUAAUUAUGAGCAUUAACCGCGGUUAAAGUGUAAAAAAUCAUGUUAACUAACUAACCGCUGUGAUUAAUUCUUGUUUUGGCAUGGGUGGACAGGUGUACAAAAGGAGAUGGAAAGGGACUGUCUUAGGCACACCCAUACUAAAGACACCCACAAUCCCAACACUCGAGACAAAACCGGAGGGGACGCCUCAGCCUCUCUGCUGUUGAGAGCGAGCCCCGAUGCCAUACGACACGCAACGACGUCGUCCGAUUUCGUUUUGCAGUGGGGGAACCGCAAGCGCCUCAGGUGUAUGAAGAUCCAGGUCAAAGACAAGGGCAAAGACGACUCCGACGCCCCGGUUACCCGAACCACAGUCCGGGUCGACCGCCGGGUCGUCCGACCUGAUAAGGACCCGGCCAAUCAGCCUUCCACGGCCGGUAACUCUAAUCAGACGAAUGGGUAUUUGAAUCUCCGUCAACGGCCGUUAUCUCCGCAGCAGCCGCCACUUCAGCGUGUUCUCAGGUUACCACUUGCACUUCACGCUUUUGCUUUAUCUAAUCUAUAUCUAUUGCUUCCACGGGACGUCGUUUCGGUCCUGCCUUUCGUUAACAUGUAGUUUCGUCGUUUUGUGGGGUAGUUGUGGUGGCGUUUUGUCGUUUAAAUUAGUGGCGGGUGGGCCAGGUGCGUGGGUUUUGUCGUUUUUAGUUAUUUUGGGACUUGUUGCCUACGGUUACAUCUGUACAGUUUUGGUGCGGUUUUUAUAUAUACCUUGAUCUCACCGUCAGAUGCAUGAGUCAUAAUCAUCAGAUCAGGAGAUUUUAUAUUCAGACUUGCUUGAUUUUAGAUUUUAGAUUUGUGAGGAAAAAUCUCAGAUGAUUGCGUGGCCAAUUUCUCUACGUCUGUGAAGGUCAAAGAGAAUAAUUUUGUUAGGUAAGUGUUUGUUGCUUUGAUUAGAUUAUUUCAUAUGCAACAAUAGAGUGAUUGCAAAUUCUGUUAUCUUCUUCCUUGUUUGGUUGAAGAGAAAAUCUUGUUUGCGUGAAGGGAAAAUCUCUGAUUUUCUUGUGCAAAUUUGUCGCUUUAGAUUGGAUUGAUUUAUAUGAGUGGGACUGGAUAAAUGGAUAAGGCUAGAAAGCAUGGAAUUUUGUCCCACACCACUGGUUUUUUAUAUUCCUGGCCUGCCAUUAACAUGGCUGUGUUUAAUCCUAUGUGCUUAAUGUGUAGUUGAAUGAAAUUUUGUCGGAGGGUUUUUGAGAUUAGGAGUUUUAAUGAUGAAAUUUGGGGCUGAAUUUGUUGUGAGGCUUAUCUUAAUGAUCAACUCUCCAAUUGGUCAGGUGGGUGAAGAGAUGUAAAAGCCCCAGAAGGAGAGCUCAUGGUAAGUGCAUGAGGGUAGGGUGCCUUCUUUGUUUGUCUUUGUAGGAAACUAGUAGCAUAUGAUUGAAUUAGGUUGCUCAUGUAGUCAUGUAAUCUUUUUGGCUUGAUUGUGCACAACAUAAAACACAUUAACAUAACAAACAACUUAAAUUAGAGAAAGAGAGAGUCUUAGUGCCAUAAGGUCAAGCAUUUACCCUCACAUUCACGGCAAGAGUUUGAUUCUUCCUCGUUCGUGUUUUUCAGGAUGCGGUAUUAAAUUAUGGUAUCAUACAGGAUGGUGUAUCAAUAAGUUGAUGUCAAGCAUGAUUGAUUUGAUACUAGUUCUAGUUUUCUUUUUUGGAAUAAAUGCCUUAUUUAUUGUGAUUGAUUUGUUAUUUAUUUUAGACACGAUGUUAGGGCUGAUUUGAUCAUAAAUCUAGAAUGAUUAGGCUUGAGUAAAUUGAUUUCCACUAGGACUUGUGUAGCAGGCUUAUGUUGCUCAUGGUCACACCGGAUCGGGGCUCCACUACAUCUUAGCAUGAUAGCGUCCGAUCCAUAACGACCGGCACCCUGAUUCCAUGGGCUCAGUGGAAAUAGGAAAUGGGCAACUCCUAUUCCACGUGUCCACGGAAAACCAAUUCUUCAACCCCGUUUCUAGCCCUGGGAUCACUGAUGGAUCAGGCAAUGGAUCCACGCCUUCCACGUUUCAACACGUGUUCCUUAACCCCACAAAAGGCACUCUCAAUCCAACGGCUAAAAUCCUGCCCAAAAACCAGCUGUGCACGUUAUACAGUACAUCACAUCCCUUUCCUCUCUCUCUCUCUCUCUCUCUCUCUCUCUCUCAAAUAUCUAACUUUUCAUUAAAGAAAAGAAAAUUAACAACUCCCUCGUUUAAAAGCAGAACACAAAGGUCCCCCAAAGAAGCCAAAAACCACGCUAAUUUUCUACGCAAAACCCAUUACAAAGCCUCUCUCUCUCUCUCUCUCUCUCUCUCUCUCUCACACCAAUCCACCGAUCUAGAUCGUCUCAAGGCCAUUCCCGUAAUUUCACAACUACCCACAUUAAUUUAAUUUAAUUUAAUUUUUUGCCCAAAAAGUAUCAUUUAUUAUGUUUUGUGCCAGCUUUUUUAUGGGUUUAUUGAAUUCAAUUGAUUUGAUUUGAUUUGAUUUUGAUAUGCGUAUCUGAAUUGUGUAGAAACUCAGAGACCACAACAAGUGCCAUGAGAGGCCAGAGCAACGGAGGCUUGAGGGGAAUUGUUUCACCCGACAACAGAGGGGGUGCGCACGAUAAGAAAGGCAACCACCACCAUCACAACCACCACCACCAUAAUAAUGAGAAUAACAACACCAAGUCUGCAGCUUCUUCGGACACGGCGCACGAUAGUAAAAAGGGGGGAGGUGGGUCUUCAUCGGGAAGCGGCGAAGCAGCGUUGGCGCCACCGAUGGUCUGGCCGCCGAAGUUCGUGAUUGCUUUGACCAACAAAGAGAAAGAAGAGGACUUCAUGGCAAUCAAAGGGUCAAAAUUGCCUCAGAGACCCAAGAAGAGAGCAAAGUUCAUUCAACGCACCCUCAAUGUAAGCUCCUCUAUUUUCCUUUUUUAGUUACUUUAUUAAUUAAUUAGUAUUAAUUAAAACUAACUAGUUUUUUUUAUUUUUUUUCUUUCUCUUUUUAAAAUAACACCAUUGCCUUGCAAAAACAAAUCAAAACCCAGUUUGAUUUUAUUAUAUUUAUAUGGUUGUUUUACCUGUAUUUAUGCAAAUUGUUGUUGCGACAAAAUGUGGACUAGCUUAGAAGGAAGGAAAAGCAAAAAAUAAUAAAAUAAUAGAAUAAUAAAUAGAACUUUCUGGUAUUUGUUUAGUUUGGGUUAAAAGAAGCCGAAGAAGAUUGCUAAAGUGACAGCAAGAACAAGGCAUACACGUGUCCGCCAAGCCAUGUAUGCAUAUACCUAAUAUGCCUAAAAGUUAGUUUGCUGUCCGACUGGAAUAGUAUUAAUAGGACGAUGGUUUGGGUUAAGAUUAAAUUCUAUAUUAUUCAUAAUAAUAUGAUAAUGAAAUAUUUUAUUUAGGGUCGCCUCGUUUAGUGGAAAAUUGAUGUCACACGUGGCAAUACAUGGUUGUUGCUUUUGGGUUGGUUAUCGUGGCGAUGGACGGUGCGUGGCGUCUCAUGUGGCCGCAUGUGAUUUAGUGGGCAUCAGUGGACGUUUAAAGCAAGUGGGCCUUAAUUCUGUACUAACCGACAAAAAAAGGGCAUAUGGGUCGAAACGGACCCUGGGCCUGUUACCGUUGGUUUUUUUUUGGGGGGUUCUUUUUGGGAAAUAAUAUGCUUCAUGUUGAGGGCAUAUAGGUAUUUUCACUAGCCCUUAAUUAUGCUAACUGUUUUCUGGCUUGGACCGCACUGCCAACUGCUGAGCACAAAAGCACGAAAGCUGACUACCCACAAUGCACCGUUUUCGUUUUUUAAGUUCCAAACAUAGCAAAACUCAUCAAAGUGCUUAUCAAAAAGCCUAUCCCGCUUUUUGCCCAUUACCUAAAGCAAAAGCUACGCUUUUGCCAGUCUGUUUUUGCUUGUUUUGGCCUCUUCCUUUUAAUUAGCUGGAAGAUUAUUGUUCUAAUUAGUUUUUUAUUUUCUGUAAUUUUGUUUUAUAGCUGGUAAGCCCAGGAGCAUGGCUCUGUGAUCUGACCCUAGAACGGUACGAGGUCAGAGAGAAGAAGAUUUCCAAGAAGGUAUUUUAUUGAGUAAUUUUCUUCGAUUCAGGGCCUAAAUCAAAUUUCCUUAAUUUGCCUUUAAUGUUGAUAUUUUUAUGCAGCAGAAUGAAUAGUUUUUUUGUGUUUUUGCAUGAUGCUGCAGAGACCAAGAGGGCUAAAGGCGAUGGGCAACGUGGAGUCUGACUCUGAAUAGAAAGGAGUUUUAGUGAAAAGACUAAUAUAGCAUUUUCGUUUUUUUUCUCCUCCUUUUUUUGAAGGUAUGAGAAAAAUGUUAGAACUUUGUAAAAAUCUUCACCUUUCAACCAUCAGAAUAAUGAAUGGAUUCAUUUCCGGUCCUGUAUACAGUCUUGUUCCUCAUCUUCCUACUAAGUUUGUUUAAUCAGAACAAGAAAAAAAAAACAAAUCAUCACGUCCAAGCACACGAACAAAUGAAAUUUCUCUCUUUCAAACCCUAAUUGUGAAAAAUAAUUAAAAUAAGCUUCAGGGAUGUAAUUCAAGUGGUUAGUCAUGACAUGUUACACAAUCCAACAAUUUUUUGUUUUCUUGUCAACCUACAACACAUUUUCUUAUGUCGUAUUAAGUUAGAAAAGGGAAUUAACGGUGUUGGAUAGUCGUCCAAACGCACGUGAGUGUCUUAUGAUUGUUCAUAUAUUAACAUAUGGGUCUCAGUCUAACAUACAUCGAUGACUUACGGUGGAAGUGCUCAUUAGGCAUGGGCAAAAUCAGUUUCAGACUUCACCAUCCGAGUGAAAAAGAAACUCGAGACUCGAUCGCUCUCAAGAUGUGAAGAAAAUCACGAAAUUGACUCUUGAGACGAGAUUUGAGACUCUUUAGAGGUUAGACUUCAAGAAGGAAGAAGAAAAACAACAAACCAUAACUCUCUUUAGCUGACACACGUAACGUAAAACCACAAUAUAUGAAUUUGCAAAGCUAUUAAAGACAAUGACAUCUAAAAAUUUACCCGAGACAGGAGAAAAACCAGAACCCCAACUCCCUAAAGUUACCUAGUCAUUAGCAAAUUGAAGGGCCACGUCUAAUUUAUAAUGAUAAGAGAUAAUAUCAUUGUUUGGUCGCAUGAUUUGUGGAUGCCACUUUACAUUAUGUGGCCUCCUUAAUUGGUAUUUUGAUGUGACACGGAACACUUAACGCGGUAAUUUAAUUUCUUAACGUAAUUGACAAUUUCAAUGAAAAUCCAUGACCUAUCAUAUCAGACCACCAAACCAAACCCAACUGAAUUAAACUAUUGGAAGAGGAGAAAACAUGGGUCCUAAUUCAAAUUAACAUUCAUAAUUCGCCAUCAUUGACGGGAAGACCCGAAUUAAUCCCCUUAAUUAUGCCACGAAGAAGCAUAAACACAUUUUAAGAAUAACAUCUGCUCUGUGAGAGUUUGUGGAGACAGACAGAUCCACCACCCACCAUCCAGCUGGUUCUCAAAAGGCAAUUCUAAUGCUACCUGCGGGUCGUGAAGAAAAGAGGAAGAUUUUUCAAUUUAAUUAGCCCCCAAAAAAUAGCAUGGAAAAUACCCCCAAAGGGCCCUAAAUAUACCCUUACCCACUGGGCAUAUUUGUCAAUAAACACUGAAAUUAGGGAUUUUUUCAGGACCCAAACACAAUUGCUAUAGUCGGUGACCCAGAGCCUAUCAAAUUAUAAACUCAUUACGUGUUGCAGUUGGAAUUACAGCUUUAUUCUGUUAGAAUAAAUGAUUAAUUUACACCGACUUGGCUACGCCGCUUUUUUGGUCCAAGCGAAAAUAAAAUAAUUGGAUCUGGAUUUGUAAUUUGCCGCUUUUUAUUUGCAGGUAAUGAAAAUGAAAUAACAAUUUGGAUAUUAGUUAAUUUUGAUAUCACAAGCUAGACAAACACCAUUCUCAAAGCAACUCAAGCAUCAAACACAGGAGGAGGAGGAGGAGGAAGACAAACGAAAUAAAAUCAAUGAAUUAUUUACUCAUAAUAAGGAUAAUAAUCGAAAUCCACAAAUACAAAACCCAUAGUAAUAAACCAAGUGCAUUAUAUAUGUAGUCUAUGCACCACAAAAACCCAUAUGACACUGAAAAUCCUAUAGAUCCAUAAUCACCAGCUACUAAAAUGACAAACGCUACUAAUAAAAAACCAAUCAGAAACCCAACCGCUCUCUACACAGCCCCAACCAUAGUUGCAGUAGUAAGCGAAGACUCAAACCCUGAGCGCAGAUCCGAAGACGAUAGCGGCGAAGGCGGCGGCGAAAGCAGAGAUGAACGACGGGGAGAUGGAGGCGGAUGCGGAGGUUGGGCUAGGAGCUGGAGAUUCGGCGGCCUGAGCGGCGCCGAUGACAGAAAGGACGGUGACGAAGACCGCCAUGAGAGCCACGAGUGAAGUUGCCUUUGAGACUGCCAUUGUUGAUUGGUGUGAGAGUUUCUUGUGCUUCGGAAUCUAGGGUUUUGGGAAUACGCCGAGAGACUGAAGCACAAAUAUCAGAGGUGGAAUGAAGUAGGCUCAAGGAACGUAUUUAUAGCGGGGAUUUUGGGCUGGGGUCGGGCAGCCUGGGCAGCUGCCCGGUUCUACAGGCUGGCUACUUGUGAUUGGUUCAGCGCGACAGCUCACACCGCUGGUCGGGGUAAAUUUUUCUCUGUGGGCCCCACUAGAAACCAGUGUCUACGCGGAGUCGUUUCACGCACGAUUUUACCUUCGUCUGAAACGACGCCGUGUGUUCACAUUCCUUAACGAAAGGGCUUUUCGCUUCGCGGCCGAGUCGACUCAGUGGAGAAUAUAUUCGCAAGAAUCUUCUAGCUUGCGACGCGCGGAUCAGAUUCUGUCCGUACGGUGUCAUUUGAGUCACAUCACAUGAUGAACGGUCCAGAUGAACCCGUGGGAACACGUGGGAAUGGAAGAGGUUAUAACGGUUUCGCGGUAAAAAAAUUUGGUUUUUUAUUUAUUUUUAAACUUAAAAAAUGGCCCACAAUGCGCAAUCAGGGAGAUUACAGCGCAGAAAACACAGAGAGGAUGCGUGACUUUCUGGUGAGCGACUCGAUGGCCAACGGGCGAUCGACACGUGGGGAUUUCGAAAAAGACAGGUUGUUAAAUUGCGAGGAAAAAGAUACGACAGGUGUAGGGUGGGAUUUGGUUCUGUUGCUUCUGAUAUUUUUAUUUCGCGGGAUUUCCAGAACAUUCGCUUGGCAUUUUGCGUUUUGGAGUUGAGGGGCGCACAUGCGUGCGGGUGAAGUUACCGUAAUGCCCUUGAGAGUGAUUGGGUGCGUGUCAAUUUUAUAUUCACGUUCAUUAUGAGGAGCUAUGAGUAUCUACUUAAGAAAACCAAAAGGAAUGUGGCGCUGAAUCUGAAUGGGUUUGAAGUCCAUUAAUGCGUUCCAGGGCUUUUCAACAUUUUGUUCCAUAUUCCAUGCCGUGCCCACUGGCUAAUGGGUUUGAUGUGGGCCCAACAUAUUCUUUUCUCGUCAAAUCCAAAUAAAGAGGCCGGGUGUUACGGGAGCUCCUAUAAUCCAGGUCGGUUUAUGUCGUCGAAGUUUCAAUUCAGCUGUCUAAUAAUAAUACUCUUAAAGUGUUGUUGAACGAACUCACAAAUUAACUGUGUUCACUUUACUAAUAAACUAUUUAUUGAAUUAUCAAUUUGCUCUAGUAUAAAAUGACCAAAAAUGAUAUAUUGAAUUGUGAAAUAAAUGUAAUGUUAAUAAAUACACCAUACACUAAAUAAAUAAAUAAAAAUUACACCUUUCUCACUAUAUUCAACCAAAUUGAACUUUUGUUUUCUUUUUCUUUUUCUUUUUCUUUUUCUUUUUUGGGUUUGUUUGUUAACCUCAAUAAUAAUAAAUGAAUAAUUAGGGAGGGACCAACCAUAAAGCCAAGCAGGAUUAACAAAUAUGUAUAGAGAUGGGUUAGUAUUAUGAGACAACCAUCACAAUGUCUGUCUGAUUCAUAUAGAACUGCAUAAUUAAUGACAAUGAUGAUAUUAGUGUGUAUCAGGGGUAUUUUUAAAGUUUUUAUAAUUGUGUAUUAGUGUGUAUCAGGGGUAUUUUUGGUAGUUAAAUAUGGUGUACUUAGUUAAUUUUACAUUUUGAUUUAAAUAUUAAAGUAUGUUUAGAUCAUAGGGUGUACUUAGUUAAUUUCAGAGUUCGUUUAGCAAUGCUCUACUUUUAUUGAUCAGACAACUAUGAAGACUCCCACACUAUAGCCUCAUACAAGUGGUACGCAGCAUAAAUGGGCAUGUAAACCAUAGAGGACCAAGAUAUAGAACCGUUGACGCACGUAAGUUCCACAAUACUGUUAAUAUAUGUGCGGGCGACUCCGAGUAACUGUUAACCUAGAGUCAGAGAAAUGAAAUUCAAAUAUAAAAUAUUUUAUUCUAAUGUCGAUUUCUGAAUACAAAAAUGUGAAUUUGAUGCAGUGCUAAAUAAGGUGUGCUACUUCUCUGUACAUCUGAUACUGAUACUGUUGUGGACGGGGGUUUUGGCCAAAGAGCUAUCAAGUGAACCUCAACUAAUAAUAAUAUUACAGCUGAGGUUGAAUUCUAUGAUGACAAAUAACACACACCACAAACAGGGAAUUUUGCAUGCUCUUCGGCUAGAGAAGUUUGAUUUGACUGAGGAUUUAUGUGUUAGAAGCCCAAAAACUUUGGUGCUAAAUGCAGAAGGGGUUCCAUAGCACUUGGAGCAAAUUUUCUUCCAAAAAGAAAGCAGAUUGAAGAGUUCCGGUCGUUGUAAGUGCAGCGAUGACCCUCGAGCAUUCUCUUGAAGAAUUCCUCAGUGAUAUCAGCUCUUCCAAAGGUAGCUGGGUGAGGUCCACCCCUUGACCAAUCCACCCAAGUGAUGCUUCUGUUUGCUAAGGAAUUCCCUGCUUGAAUGGUUAGCAUGGUGGGGAAAUAGUGCUCAUCAACAUAACAUGCGGGUCUACAGAACUUUUCAAAUUUUUGGUAAAAUGUCGUAUCUUCGACAAUGCUGAUGGCAAGCUUCCGGUUAACUUCAAACCAUUGGGAGCCCUUGCGCCACUGGGUUAUAUUCACUUCAGGUGCCAUGUUAUUAUUAUAGCGUCCUCUCCCGAAUGGCCCAGGGUCGUCAAAUGCACCGAUGAAGCUGUACUUGGAUUUCAUUAAGUAGUGGUAAAUGACACUGAAGUUAUAGAGCGGAAUGCAAGAUUCGGAAACAAGAAUGAACCAUUCAUUGGAUAUGUCAAGCAAUGCAUUAGCAAGGAGCCUUCUCUCAGCAUCACACAUACUCAUUCUUCCCCACUCAGAAACCUGCACAGCAGAAAACCAAAACUCUUAGCAGAUAUGUAAGAGAUAUUGCAUAAUAUCUAUCCAGAUUUGAACAGAAAAAAUUUCUACAGCAGCAACCAAGAUGACCUCAAAGAAAUUAGACAAAACAAGUUAUCCUCAAGCUACAAAGCAACAACAAUAUAAUUUUCCCUGGAUACUCUGUUUUUGAAGCUACUAACUGCGGAUCAUGAGUUUCUCUUUUGUUCAAAACACCCAGGUUAAAAAGUAAAACAAGCAGAGAUUUUAUGGAAUAUGUUCAUGAAUCUGAAAUAAAUACUUGGUAUGUUUCUAUACAAGCUUGAACUCUAUCACAAAGCAUCAUUCACAUAAAUAAUUAAUUUCUUCCUCAUAACCUGAAGGCAGAUAUCAUGACAGUAUGGAAAUGUCAUGAUUGUGGCACGAGAACAAGUCAGGAAUCAAGAACGUAGAUUAAAAAAAAAACAUCAGGACUAUGUGAAGAGGUCCAGGGUGCCACCCCAGUAGUCAAUGCCUUUACAUCAGCUGUUCAUCAUGUACGAAAACAUUUAUGCAUCUGCUUUUUUCAUGUUUAUAAACACAGGUGUUGUAAUAGUCUCAAGAUCCAAAAGUUAGCAGCAGAUGGAGUGGACCUAGUGGAGUUUCACAUGCAGGAUUGUCAAAUUCAUGGAAUAAAGAGUCAAAUCCAUUCACUUAGUUGAGUUUGCACUUGACACACGAGUCCAUGGAACAAAUAGGGCGUCCUGCCCUCCCCAAGAGAUGGUCUAUAUAUCCUACAUCACUGUAAUUCUCAAUACAUGAACAUGAUAAAACUGACCUGUUCCUUUCUACCAACACACAGAAAGGUAGUUUUAACCCUUUCUUUGAUGAUAAGCAAAAAUUACCAACUCUUGGAAAGAUGAAUUUCGGAUUUCAUCAUGUCUUAAGCUUCACAUACAUAACCUAACAUUUUUAAAUGCAAGAGACCAGGGUGUGUGCUCACCACAGAGCAAAUAUAGGAAAUCAAGAUGUGCAGAAAGUAAAAACCAGAUAAACCAGUGAUAGAGAACUAGAUAUCUACGAAUUUACCUCAAAAUAAAAAAUAAAAAAAUAAUUUUGUACUUGCUGAAGGAUGCUUAGUAGAACAUGCAAUCUCACAAAGGAUAGAAUAUGGACCUGGCUAGGAAUGUGUCUCCCAUAAAAAACGGACGAAGUGUGAAAAUGAGGUUGAAAUGACGGCAGUGAAUGAACGUAGAUUGAAUAACGUCCUUCAUGUCCCUUCAGAAACCUCUCCCAAAGGGGUGCCAGCGGCAACGGCCCCCUGGUCAAGAACAUAAAUGCAAUCUUUGGAACUCUCUCAAAAGGAUACUUCUUUAUUCUAGGCAUAAGAGAAGCCCUCCACAAUAAUUCCUUAUCAGUCAUAGUGUGUUGAAGAUUUGAUGGCGGCUUAAUCCACCGGUCCAAACCACUCGGUUCCUCAUAGCAUGGCUGGAAAGAGGACGUGACCGUUGUCAUCACCCCAUUAAUUCCAAAAUGACGAAUCGUCAAUAUGCUAAUGACUGAGAAAGUAAUACAGAAAAGCACAAACAGCACAAACAACUGAAGUAGCCUUAUCGGCAAUGCCUUGGUUUGGUUUGUCCUGCCAGUAACUCCGGGGUCCUUGCCUUCCUCUAAUGGCACAACCCUUGAUUGCAUGGUUUGCAUCUUGAUUAAAACACUGCACCAAAAUCAAUUUCUAGCUCUUCUGAUUACUACAGAGUACCUCCAAGUCUCAAAAUUUUGGACACCUAUUGACUUCUCUCAAACAAGAAAACCCACAGUCCAAAAUUGCAUCUUGCAUCACAAACGGUGAAGUGAACACGAAUUUAAUCACAUUGGAAUCUGAAUCACUCAGUUUUCUUCAAAACUGCAACCCCACCAAAUAAAAACACACUGCACAGAUCUGAAACUAAUACUACAGUACUGAACACAUACUGCGUAAAAAAUUUUAACUUCAGCACAUGGGUUCUUAAUAAACUGAGCUUAUAUCAACGAUCUAAGCUAAGAUCAUACAAAUAUGGAUCGAACUUCUCUUUCACCAGAGAAAAAAGUAUGACAUACCAUGUGACUUUUGAGGUUGAAAGCUAAAUUGAUGAAGACGAAUGAAGGAUUUAGAUCCUUGUAUUUGACUGCUUGAAUUGCGCCCAAGAAUACGGGAAGUGGUCAAUUGGAUGAAGAACAAGAGAACAGAAGGAGGAGGUCACGCAGAGGAGACUUUGGCGGCAGAAACAAAAAGGUGCAGUGACCAAUAAUAAUGAGAGAGUUUGAAAAACUUGGGGAGAAGUCUUGACCGAGUGUGCGCGUUGUGUGUGAGAUGAGAGAAUUGUGAGGAAGACGACGACUCUGUGAUGAUCUGUAGAAUCUCAAGUUUUAAGAAUGUCUCUCACACGGUGCGGUGCGAGUGAGGAGGGAGAGGGGAUCCAGCUUGUCGGCUAACUUGGGAGUGUGAUAUAUAAGCACCCAUCCAGUUUCAUAGCUUGGUGGAAAAACGAACUUGCCUCAUCUGUUGCGUGUGUGUAUUUUUGGGUAAAUUCAUUAGUGACUAAAAUGAUAAAAAUCGACCUUCGGAUGCGAUUACUAUGUUUUGAUUAUUUUUUUUCUUUUUUAGUAGAAGCGAUAGUUUCUAAACUGAAUGAAAGUGGAAUUUCUCACACACACACAUCUAUAAUGUCAUGGAGAUUCAAACUUGAGACCUCUAUUAUGCAAGUUAAAAUUUUUCCACGCAAUAGACCCUGUUGGCGAUACACUUUGAUUUUAAGAUGGGCAGAUAACAAUAGAAACUUUAUUUUAUUUAUUAUUAAUUGCAAGCACCCUAUUGGAACACGUUUCACCCUAUUGGAGCAUAAUUAGCAUCAAAGCAAGAAAAUCAACUAUUUUCCCCCCUCAUAGCCGCAUAAAAGAACAGAUAAAAGGAUAGAGUAUAGAAGCCUAAGUACAGAUGUAAAUGUAAUUAUUGGUUAGAGAUUGGGUUUAGUUUAAACAAGUUAAUGAGGCUUUGAUUGGUUGUUGAAGCUUAAUGUCUUAUGGUGGUGGAGAACCCAAUUGUAUCAAACAACGUAAUAAACACGACGUGGUGUAGUUGGGCAGACCGCAAGUCUUGGCCUCUAGUUAGGUGGGAUUUCAGUUCUUUCACCAAACCAAACAAGCCAUGAGGAAAGCUAAAGAAAGUCUAAAGGUAGGAGCCAUAUGUAGGAUCAAAUCUGCCUAGUAACCAGUUGUAUAUCCCCUUCUGUCUACAACACUUUACAUUACGUAAUCGGUUGCAUAUUUCUAUUCUAUCUGUUUAAAACAAUCAUCAUCUAUAUAUAUAAAGCAAAAGGUAGAGAAUGGUGAAACAUUCAAAAUACCAGAAAAUAUCCUUGGUUAAUGCAAACAUUAAGAACUAAACUUAUUAAUUAAAUGAGGAUAAUAUGGUAAAUUUACACUUUUUAUAAAAAAUUAAAAUUAAAUAAAAAAUAAUGGAUCUUAUUUUUAUGGAACACUUUUUAAUUCUAAAAAAAUUUUAAAUUUUUUUUAAAAAAAUGCCUCUCGCAAGCGCGUGCAGAGAAGCUAGUGUUACAUAAUGAGUGUUGUAGACACGAGAAUACAAAACCGGAGAUAGCUAAGAUUCUCUCCAUAUGUUGAGUCUACACCUACCUACAACCGCAUCUAAGAUUCCCCCAGCAAUAAGGACACAGGGACAGCUGAGGAUCCAAAAUGGUUCAUAUACAUGGGGUCCCGAUCUCGAUCUAAACUUCGUUAAAAAUAAAGUUGAUUGGUUGAUAGAAUCAACCACACUCAAAAAAACAAGCAGUUUUAACUCGAGAGAGGAGUAGAAUCAACCACACUAAAAAAAAUAAGCAGUUUUAACUCGAGAGAGGAGUAGAAUCAUAAAGCCUUCGCUGCUGUGAAUGGCGAUCCUGCAAAACAAUUCAUGAUGUAACUGUGAUUUGCAAAGAAAACCAUCCAUGCAUUCAUUUUGAACGUGUGAUAUAAUAACACGUCAUAUCGACAAUGAGAUCCUUGAAAACUGAGCAACGUCACAACAUUAGGUCUGUAAUUUGCCAGUAUAUCUACUGUCUAUGAAAACGCCAAAGUUGAAGACUAAAACUAAGAUACUACAGAGCGUUUUCUGCUCACAGUCACAGCACAUGAAACAGCUAAGAUGUAGAUGUUUCUAUCUUAUUCACAAAGGAACAGUUAGCUCCACAUCCCAAAUUCUAUAUACCAUGGCAUAUUUCUUGUAGCAUAUACCACUCUACUUCACCACAAAACUGGCACGGAGGUUGGAAACCAUAACUGGGCACUCUCCCUUCUCAUCAUAUUCAACAAAGUCCCCUCCCGACAAGUCAACAUGGUCAAAUUUUGUCCCUUCCACCUACAAGAAUGAACACUAGUUUAAGUUGAAAUAAAGAUGCAUCCAGCAGAGUCGAUUGCAGUACAUAAAAAUGAAAACUAGAACUUCAAAAAUCGAAACUAUUCUCCUAUUUUCAAAAAUUCAACAAUUCAAAUGCAAAAAUUCAAUUCACUGGGGCCUCUAGUAAUUCGUUUUUCACUCCUUGUUUCUUUUUCUAAAUUUCAUUAUCAAUCUAAUUUUCACUUUUAUUCUCCUUGGGGUAGGGAAUGGCGAUAGGCGGGCAUGACACUCCUGGCCAAGCAGAACAGUAAAAAUGAGUUGACAUUUGGUGACACCAUCUCUGGUCCAAUCCACAUGGUAGGCUUCCAUAGUAAAUCUAGUGUACAAGACAAUUAUACUGUUUGUGGGAUGCCCUUAACGUCAGAAAAAUAAAAUAUCACUAUUUUCUGCAGUUCCCACCUCUUGAAUAUGAUAUGCUCAUGAGAUGUACUAACCUUAAGAUCUUUAUGCUAAAGGACAGAGACCUGAGCUUUCUCACCCCAAAAAGAAAGGAUCAGAACUCAAAAGGACAAAAAUACCAAAAUAAGCUUUGAAAGGCGCUACCACAUUAUGGAAUAGGAUAUGCAAUCCUUAAUGCUUAAUGUACUAUGUACUAUAAGUACAAACAAGGAGAGUUAAGAAGAGAAGAAUAAAAGAAUUUAUACAUAUGCGCUGAAGUUCAUAGGAGUUAGUGAGAUUUAGUGCUUAGGAAUGUUCGCACGAUUACUAUUUAUAAGACCAUUCAGCUCAAAGGUCCCAGCAAAGUCAUUUUCCAUCCAUAAGUACAAUAAGAAAGUUUUAUACAAUAUGCUACAUAAUUGGAAGGUGGUGUGUGAAGAAGAGAAACUUACAGAUUCAACCUUCCACCCACUAGCAAAUACAUAGUCCACAGGCUCAUAACCCCUGCACUCAAACAUCAUCAAGGGGGAAAAUUUCCUUUCUUCACACAUUUGCUGGGUCAGUGGUUUACCAUGACCUGGCAUCAUUGUCAGAGUUCCAUCCCUUCCACAAAACUUGCACUACAAGGGGAGAUGCAAAUCACCACACAUAUAUAGCAAACUUAACCAGAAAAUAUUCGUUCAAAGAUAAAACAUAAAGGGAACAACCCCCAUAUCCAUGAAUUGAAGAUAUGCAAUAGUAAUAACUUAUGUCAACGUAGUUGACUCAUAUGUCAUCAAAUAGAAACUGCACAGAGAAAUGUGUUGGAACCCACACAUGUAAACUUUAACCAAGAGAAGAGAAAUGAAAUCCCGAUAAAAUCUCAAAGUUGUCGCUACAAUUAGGCACCCAAACAAACAAAGCAUUUGCUCAACCAAACAAGCAUACUACAGAAAACACAAACUACCAUAACUCUUCUGUUCCUUUCCUUCUAUUUCCUCAGAAACUAAAUAUACUUCAAUAAGCUCUUAAAUUCCAAAGCCCAUUGAGCAAUUAGUAGAGAGAGAGAGAGAGAGAGAGAGAGAGAGAGAGAGAGAUAAUGGUUACCUUCUGAACGAGAUUAACGGUUGCCUUGCCCGAUGGAAGAGGAACAGUCUCGUUCAAGCUCACACAAGUUUCCCUCUGGCUCAGCUCUCCACACCUCUCACAUUUCAACUGCAAGAUUACAAAAAGAAUAGAAUCAUGUUAAUAAUGACUAUAUCAAGCUCGGGAGACUAAGCGACGAACAUCGACGUCAAUUUUAAGCUACAACCCCUAGAAAUCUGAACACGAACACCAACUAUAAUGACAAAAUCGACUGCAUUUUUGGAGCAAAAAACUUGACGAAAGGAAAUGAAGGUGACCUUGAAGAGAUAGGAAAAGUUGGGGUCGUUGCAGCCUUCCUGGGGCUGAAGGUUCGUCAGGUUCUCGAGGUCCGCAGCGAUCUGAAGUAAAAAUUUCACCAUUUUCGAUUUGGCGUCAAUCUCGAGCUGCUCACCGCGUCUUUGUCUCACUGUGUGUAGCUAGUGGCAGGAUGAGUAAUAAAUAAGGGGGGCUUGGGCGACGAAUAGACGCUAUCAGUUAAACGGCGUCGUUGUGCGGAAUUUAAUUUUUUUCCGACACGGGGAUUUUUAGCUCAAGUUAACUACAAUUUACCCUAAAAUCGAUGGCCUAUGUUCGAAUCAUCUUUCUUAAUAUCGUUUGUAUUUUAAAAAAUAUUAAAUUAUAUGAAUCAUAUUGUGAUACCUGUUACAAAGAGAAGUUUAAUAUUAUGAAAGUCUUUCAAGUAGCAAAUGUGAAUUAGGUCAGUUAGUCAAAGUAGUGUGUCCAUCUUUUUUCACAUUAGUUUUUAGAUUUAUGAUAAUAGUACUUCAUUUGAAAUUUUGAAGGCCAUUGAAGUGAAGGAACCAAAGCAAUAUUGUAGGAAUUUAACAAUCAUUUUGCCAUUCUAAUUUGUGAGGACACGUCAUAAUGUUAGUCCUCAUACCAUUUUCCAUUUUACACACCGCAGUUCAAAUAUUGGACCAAAAAACAAAACGAAAUUGGCAUGAUUGGAAGGUGAACCAUGCAAAGUUUGCAGAUAUGUAAUCAGAAUCAUGUGCUACAUAUUAUGGAGGCACUGUCCUUGAAGAGAUUCAACUAGUGUUGGGAUCUUAGCCCAUCUCAUAUACUGAAAGAAAGAUAAUUUCCAUUUCAUGAUUUUGGGUGUUUGUGAUUAGUUAACAACAAAUUAAUGGGGGGAAGGGGGUUGUUUGGUGGUGAAGGGAUUGGAAUAAGGGGCAUAAUGGUAAUUAUGUUGGGAGCAACUGUGACUCUUAUUAGAUGUGGGGUGCUUGUGGAGGGUAAGUUGUUCUCUAAACAGAAGAUUUUGGAAGCCGAAAGACAAUUAAACCAACUUAGAAGGCCUGCAGUUAAAACCAUUCAGGUAAGAAUUGUCCAGAACUUGAGCCCUUCACAUAAGUUUUCUGCAUUGUAUUCAUUUACUCAGUUCAUAUUAAUCUCUAUGAUUGCUUGUAGAGUGAAGAUGGUGAUAUCAUUGAUUGCAUUGACAUCUACAAGCAGCCAGCUUUUGAUCAUCCUGCUCUCAGAAACCACACCAUCCAGGUCUGCCUUCUGUUGUGCAAGUUGAAAGUAGACAAAGAUUUACUCUGCAACUUUAAUCUUUUUGCUACCAUAUAACAACUGCUUUGAGUCUUUUUUUCAGAUGGCACCAACAUAUGAUACAACCAAGGAGACAAAGACAAUGAAAAAAAUGGACAGAUGGAAGAAGAGGAAUGAAGAACAAUCUCCCAUUACCGUGAAGCAAACAUGGCACAAAAGUGGAAGCUGUCCUCAGGGAACAAUCCCGGUCCGAAGAAUCCAGAAAAAGGAGCUUCUGAGAGCUAGCUUGGUUAAGGACUAUGGAAGAAAGAAGCACAGUUCUACCUUGUCUCGUCAUGUUUCACAGUUAAGUGACAACAAAACUGUGUACCUUCAACGAGCAAACCACUCGGUACAUCAAUUCCCCACACACACAUUUUUAAUUCAUUGGAAAAUUAACUACAACUAUACACCUAAUGAAGAGGGUUUUUUUUUCUCUGUGUGUAAUUUGUGAUGGCAUCAGAAGGCAAUAUUGUUUACAGAAGGGUACAGAUAUAAUGGAGCCAAAGGAGACAUCAAAGUUUAUAACCCAUCUGUCGAGCUUGAUGAUGAAUAUAGUACUUCUCAAGUUUGUCUCAUAAAUGGUGCUUAUUAUGACUUUGAGAGUGUUGAAUCUGGAUGGGCGGUAUAUAUAUAUUAACAUAAUAAACCCUUUCACUUUCAUCUUGAAGCUACUUACUUCUUCUGUCAUAUUAUGUUCAUGGCAUAACUUUUUAGUCUGAAAAAUUACUCUAAUCCCUCUUCAGGUAAAUCCCAGUGUAUACGGGGACAGACAGACUCGAUUUUUCGUGUAUUGGACUGUAAGCAGCCAUGAAUAAAGACUUAACAUUCAUGCGAGUAAUUCCACUAGAUUUGAUGUGAUUUCUGAUGUUUCUGCAGGUUGAUGGCUCACAGAAAACUGGUUGCUUUGAUCUCACUUGUCCUGGAUUUGUUCAGACUAGCCAUGAAAUUGCUCUUGGUGCAGCAAUCCAUCCAAUCUCUGUUCCUCAUGGGCUUCCAUAUCAAAUAAUAGUCUACAUCUACAAGGUCAGGUCAACAGUUUAACAACAUAACGCGCUUGAUGAACAGUUUAGCAACAUAACAUGUCUAACAUUAUUCGUAAUACUAAAUAAGUUUUCCUAUCGUAUCUUCAAUUGAAUUUCUUUUUUGUUUUGCCUCCAAAUUUAGGAUCCAGUAACAAGCAACUGGUGGGUGCAAUAUGGGGAGAGAAUUAACAUCGGUUACUGGCCGCCGGAGCUGUUUGUUUUAUUGAGCUACCAUGCAACAAGUGUUGAAUGGGGAGGUGAAGUUUAUAGCUCAAGAGUGGGAACUACGCCUCACACAAGAACAGAUAUGGGCAGUGGACACUUUGCUGAGUCAUCAGUUUGGGGGACUUCAGGCGUCAUAAAAAGAAUUCGAGUACAUGAGAAUUCACCUGGGCUGAAAUUCCCUGAUAUAGUUAAUACUUUGAUGGAUGAGUUCAACUGUUAUGAUGUCAAGUAUCUUUCGGAUUAUGUUGAAGAUCCUGAGUUCUAUUAUGGAGGGCCUGGUAGAAAUUAUAUGUGCCCUUAAGCUUAUGUUAACUUUGCUAGGACUUGUUUAAGACCCCAUUAGAAUGGGUAAUUAUGUUGUUUUAAACUUUCAUUAGUUAUUUUUUCAAUAUCAAACUCUGUAAACCCCAUCUUAUUUCUCAAAAUGACAUAGUUUUAGACAUAGACACGAUACAAGCACUAAAAACACAAGUGGAUAAUCCUAUUUCGUCCCCAAAAGGAAAAGCCUUAGAGAGUGGAAAUCUCCUAAUAAAUUGGUAAAAAUUAGGCAUAUUAAUUUUAAUUUCUAUCCAGAGGUUGCGCAAUAUUUGAAUUCAGAUUUAGAGGGAAGUGAAGUUUUUGGUGUAUAGGCAUCGAUUGUGUGUUACACUAACAUAACAUGUAUAACUUUGCACAAACGACUUGGAAUUUCAUUUUUUAUAUAUAUAAUAAUCGAGAAAAAUAUUUGUCUCAUUUCUUAAAAUGAGUCAUUCCUCCUUACAUGCAAAUUACAAUUUGACAUGAUCUACACGUGUUAGGUUGACUCGUUUAAUUCUACUAUUGACACGUAGCAUUAUCUCCUAAUAACAUAGAAAUUUAACAAUCAUACUGUAGAAAUUUAACAAUCAGUUCAUACUGUAGAAACCAAGCCAUACUGUAGAAAUUUAACGAUCAGUUCUUCUUUGGCUAAAGAUUUAUGUAGCUGGGUUUACCAAGGUUAAGGACACACUUGUCCAAAUAUUCAACAGCUACCAUUUUGAAUUUAACACUUGGCAAUUCAAAUAUAGAAUAAAAAUGUGAAAUUUGCAUGAUUUGGAAGGUGAAUCAUGCAAAUUUUGCAGUAUAUGUAGUUUGCAGAAGAUAUGUAUGCUGCACAUUGUGGGUGGCAUUGUCCUUAAAUAACCUAAGCUUAACUUAGAUUCUGAAAGCAAGAUAAUCAGUUUCCAUUUUAUGAUUUUGGGUAUUUAAAUUACCUGAGAUUUAGUAUAUAAUCAAACAAAUGGGGAAAGGGUUGUGUAGUGGUGAAGUGAUUAGAUUAAGGGGGAUGAAGAUGAUGGUAAUUAUGUUGGGAGUGACAGUGACUCUAAUUAGAUUUGGGGUGCUUGUAGAGGGUGAUUUGUUCUCUAAACAAAAGAUUUUGGAAGUUGAAAGAAAAUUAACCCAACUUAGAAGACCUGCAGUUAAAACCAUUCAGGUUUGAAUUGUCCAGAAUGAGCCCUCCACACAUAAGUUUUUUUAUUAUUGUAUUCAUUCUCAGCUCAAAUGAUUGUUUGCAGAGUGAGGAUGGUGAUAUCAUUGAUUGCAUUGACAUUUACAAGCAGCCAGCUUUUGGUCAUCCUGCUCUCAGAAACCACACCAUCCAGGUCUGCCUUUCUGUUGUUCUAGCUGAAAGUAAAAAAAAGAAAAGAUUUACUCUGCAACUUCAAUCUUUUUACUACCAUAUAACAAGUGGUUUGAGUCUUUUUUUAGAUGGCACCUACAUAUGAUGCAACAAAGGAGACAAAGACAAUGGGAAAAAUGGACAGAUGGAAGAAGAGGAAUGAAGAACAAUCUCCCACUACAGUGAAGCAGACAUGGCACAAAAGUGGAAGCUGUCCUCAGGGAACAAUCCCGGUCCGAAGAAUCCGGAAAAAGGAGCUUCUGAGAGCCAGCUCGGUUAAGGACCAUGGAAGAAAGAAGCACAGUUCUACCCUGUCUCGUCAUGUUUCAGAGUUCAGUGACAACAAAACUGUGAACCUUCAACGAGCAAACCACUCGGUACACCAAUUCUCCACACACACAUUUUUUAAUUAAUUGGUAAAUUAACUACAACUAUACAUCUAAUGGAGAGGGGUUUUUUUGUUUUUUGGUUUUUGUGUUUGUGUAAUUUGUGAUGGCCUCAGAAGGCAAUAUUGUUUACAGAUGGGUAUAGAUAUAAUGGAGCCAAAGGAGACAUCAAAGUUUAUAACCCUGCUGUUGAGCUUGAUGAUGAAUAUAGUACUUCUCAAGUUUGUCUCAUAAAUGGUGCUUAUUAUGACUUUGAGAGUGUUGAAUCUGGAUGGGCGGUAUAUAUAUUAAAAUUAAUAAACCUUUUCACUUUCAUCUUGAAGCUACUUACUUCUGUUACAUUUUAAGUUCACGGCAUUACUUUUUAGUCUGAAAAAAUGCUCUGAAUCCCUUCAGGUAAAUCCCAGCGUAUACGGGGACAGACAGACUCGAUUUUUCGUAUACUGGACUGUAAGCUGGCAUGAAUCAUAAAUUAGUUUUCAUAUGAGUAAUUCCACUAGAUUUGAUAUGAUUUCUGAUGUUCCUGCAGGUUGAUGGUUCAAAGAAAACUGGUUGCUUUGAUCUCACUUGUCCUGGAUUUGUUCAGACUAGCCAUGAAAUUGCUCUUGGUGCAGCCAUCUAUCCAAUCUCUGUUCCUAAUGGGCUUCCAUAUCAAAUAAUAGUCUACAUCUACAAGGUCAGGUCAAUAAUUUAACAACAUAACGUACCUAACCGAUAGUUUAGCAACAUAACAUGUCAACAUUACUACUUGUAACACGAUAAUAGGUUUUCUUCUCGUAUCUUCGAUUGAAUUUCUUUCUGUUUUUGUCUCCAAAUAUAGGAUCCGGUAACAAGCAAUUGGUGGGUGCAAUAUGGGGAGAAAAUUAACGUCGGUUAUUGGCCGCCGGAGCUGUUUGUUGCACUGAGCUACCAUGCAACGAGUGCUGAAUGGGGAGGUGAAGUUUAUAGCUCAAGAGUGGGAACAACUCCUCACACAAAAACAGAUAUGGGCAGUGGACACUUUGCUGAUUCUGUUUGGGGGACUUCAGGCGCCAUAAGAAGAAUCCGAAUACAUGAGAAUUCACCUGGGCUGAAAUUCCCUGAUAUAGUUACUACUUUGAUGGAUGAGUUCAACUGUUAUAAUGUUAGGUAUCUGUCAGAUUAUGUUGAAGAUCCUGAGUUCUAUUAUGGAGGGCCUGGCAGAAAUUAUAUGUGCCCUUAAGCUUAGCUUAGCUUUGCUAGGACUUGUUUAAGACCCAUUAGAAUGGGUAAUUAUGUCGUUUUAAACUUUCAUUUAUUUUUCCAAUAUAAACUAUAAAAACCCAAAACUCUUAUCCUCAAAAUAACGUAGUUUUGGACAUAAACACCAAAAACACAGAUGAUUCUAUUUGUGAGAAUGUGAAGGUAAAGAGUCCCACAUUGGAAAGUUGAGAAACCUAGCAAGGGCUUAUAAGGAGUUGGGUUACUCCCCCCAUUGCCAAUUGGUUUUGGGGUAGAACCUCAACUUCCUUCAUGGUAUCAGAGCAAGGCUUCACAUGUUGAGCCCAACAGCCACACGUGCUCCCACGUCACCCAAUAUGUGUUGUCCACGUGUUAGGCUUGAAAGUUCGCCACACGUGCGGGGGCGUGUUGAGAGUGUUUGUCCCACAUUGAAAUGUUAAGGGACCUAGCCUGGGUUUAUAAGGAGUUGGGCAACUCCCCCCAUUGCCAAUUGGUUUUGGGGUGGAACCUCAACUUCCUUCAUGGUAUCAGAGCAAGGCUUCACGUGUUGGGCCCAACGGCCACACGUGCUCCCACGUCACCCAAUAUGUGUUGUCCACGUGUUAGGCUUGAAAGUUCGCCACACGUGCGGGGGCGUGUUGAGAGUGUCACGUGCUCCACGUCACCCAAAAUGUGUUGUCCACGUGUUAGGCUUGAAAAUUCGCCACACGUGCGGGGACGUGUGAGAAUGUGAAGGUAAAGAGUCCCACAUUGGAAAGUUGAGAAACCUAGCAAGGGCUUAUAAGGAGUUGGGUUACUCCCCCCAUUGCCAAUUGGUUUUGGGGUGGAACCUCAACUUCCUUCACUAUUUCAUCCCAAAAAAGAAAAGCCUUAUGGAGUGGAAAUCUCCUCAUUAAUUGGUAAAAUUUUGCGUUAGUUACUUACCAUCUUCAAUUUGACCGAAGUUCUAUCCAAAGGUUGCACAAUAUUUGAAUUUAGAUUUAGAGAGAAGUGACGUUUUUGGUGUAUUGGCGUCGAUUAUGUAUACAUUAACAAGUUCAAUUUUGCACAAAGGACUUGGAAUUUUUUUAUUUUUUUUAUAAAUAAUAAAUCAAGAAAAAUAUUUGGUUCCUUGUUAAAAAUGAGUCAUUCAUUUUCAGAAUGCAAAUUAAUUUGACAUGAGUGUAAAUUUUUUAACAUGCUUUUAAUAAGUUAUUUAUGUAUAAGUGUUAAGUUGCGAUUUGAAUGUAAGGAGAAACGACUCAGUUAGUUCUAUAAAUCAAACUAGAAGAAACACAUACACAUCCGUGUGUAAUUUGCUAAUUUGUAAUACCGGUUGCAAAGAGAAAGUAGGUAUGGUGGAAGCCUUAAAAGUCCCCCAAUACAUUGUAUAGCCGUGCGGCUCUACUUUUAAAAUUUUCUAUUUAUAAAGUAUAGCCGGCUAUACCCUAAAAACGCCGUGAAAGCAAAUUCUUUCUUUAUAUAUACUAGCCUCUCUACAC
rnacentral:lncRNA from 1 species